UGCAGAGAGAGAAUGUGCUAAUCGUAAAUUUGAAAGCCACGUUAUUGAAAACAACUUGGUAAAGCGAUUAAGUUUUCGGUCAUUGGAUAAAGCAGUGUGCAGUUAUUGAGUAGGUAGUUGGUUGAAUAGUAUGAUCUAACGUGUGGAAAUGAUAAAAAAGAUAGAUCUAAUGGUGGAAAAACUUGGUAGCACCAAGUGCUUCAUGUUAUCGAUAGUAUUGUAGUCGGACUCUAUGGGUGUGUUUGGUUCGAAGUUAGAAUCGGAAUCAGAAUAGUUAUCAAAAUGAGUUAGAAUCGGAAUCGGAAUGGCUCAUUAUCUAAUUAUGUUUGGUUCAUCACCUGAAUUGGAAUUGAAAUAAAUCAUUCCUAUUGUCGGUAUUUGGUUCAGAUAGAUAUAAAAAACGCAAUCAAAUUAAUAUACUAACUUUAUCCUCAUAACAUAUUAAUUUAAAUGUAAACUGAAAAUUAAAUAUUAAAAAUUUACAUCAAAAUUUUGAAACAAUGUCAAAAUUUUAAAUCUAUUUUUGUAAAAAAAUUAAACUUUGAAGUUGAGUGGAUAAUCAAAAUAUAAACUAAAUUUCGAUUUAUUCAAAUUCAAACUUAAAAUUACAAUUUAAAUUUUAAUUUGAAUACAUAAAUUUAAUUUAAGUUUUAAAUAAAAUUUGAAUAAAACGUUAUAUAAAUUAAAAUUUUAUUUAAAUUCAAAUUCAUAAGUUAGAUUCGAAAUAUUUGAUUAAAUUUUAAUUUUUAAUUAAAGUUCAAAUUAAGAUUUAAAAUUAUAUAUUCAAUUUCUAAAUUUAAACUCAUAUUUUAAUUAACAAAAUUAAAAAAAAAAUUUAAUCUGAAUAAAUAUCUAUUCCGUCCGGAUUCAACUUCUAAUCCGGCCUCAUAGGCCGGAUUGGAAAAAGAAGUUAUUGAGGGAUUCCCAUUUCCCUUGAGAAUCGAAAUUGAAAUGGGAUUUUCUCGUACCAAACAUUCACAAAUGAAUUCGUCCAUUCUAAUUCCGAUUUUAGGGUGAAAAAAAAACGAACCAAACACGCCCAUAUAUAUAUUAUUAAGUUCAUUGAUAAUUAAAUUAAAUAAAAAAAUAGUGAAAAAAAAAUAUUACACUAUUUAAGCUGGGUAGCAUUAUUUGAAACAAUUCUUAUCAAUUUAUUUUGAGUAAUCAUUAAUCAUUGUUCUCAGCAAAACAAUUAAGGCACGCGGGUUUAGGCUCUCUUUUCGUGUAAUGAAAAAACCCACAAAAUAAAAUGGAAUUUUAUUUUUCUUUUUUUGCUUGAUAGAAAAUCUAUUUCAAUUAAAUUCAAAUCUAAUUAGAACAUUAGAUAUGUAGGUUUAAUUAGUUAAGAAAACGACAUUAGUAGGUUUAAUUAAACAAAUAAUCACAACAUCAAUUAAGUGGCCUUCUGUUCAUGGCUCUGCCUCCUAAUUAAGAACUUUCCUUCAAUGAUAGGCUCCACCAUUGCAUCCACCUCAUCAACAAAAUCAUCAACCUAUUCAUUUCACGAAUAAACAAAAUACUCAAUACAAAAUUCAUUUAGUGAAUAUGAAAACAUUGAAAUAACGUUCUUCAGCGGUUUAGGCUUCAAGAAAAAAAAAAAAAUUAAUAUCAAAAUUGGAGGUUCCGAAUACAAAACCUAAUAGUUAGAAAAACACUUAUACCACUACCAUCAACUGUUUGGAUAUAUAUACGUUAAAAAGUAAAGUCAAAUAUUUUGAAAUGUUAGAAUACAUAUGUAAUAUAUAACACUUCACAUUUAAAAUGCUUGUUGAAACAAAACAACUCACAAUAUUUGACUUUUCUUAUACGCAAAUAUUGACUUUGCCAAAUUGAAUAUACGUGACUGUCAAAUAUGAGUGAGGCUACUAUGCUAUCGAAAGUACGGAGCCUUUUGUGCUUUCAGCUUGUUUUCGAUUUUGCAACUUUCGAAUCGUCGAUCGGCUCCGUUAAACUUGAUCUAGAGUAUUUGGAGUACCUAGAAAAUGAAUUUUAUUAUUUUUCAAUAUCAUUUGCCUAGUGAUCGAAUGGGCUCAAAAUCAACAAAUUUCAAUGACCAUAGUGAGCCGUUUGCAAGUUUAACGGUGUAGAAAUAUUCAAAUCACGUGAAAUUUUGAUAGAAAAUUCUUUAUACUAUAUAAAACAAAAGCAAUAUCUUUGAUUUAAAAUUUUAAUGUCAUAUUAUUAUAUUUUGUAAGAUUUUUAUUUUCAGCCGUUGAUUUUGAGCCCCUUCGUUCACUAGGCAAAUGAUAUCGUAAAAUCAUAAAAUUUAUUUUCUAGGUACUUCAAAUACUCUAAAUCAAGUUUAACGGAGCCGAUCGACGAUUCGAAAGCCGCAACAUCGAAAACGAGCUGGAAGCACGGAAGGCUCCGUACUUCCGAUAGCAUAGUAGCCCCACUCGUCAAAUAUUGUUUCAAAGUCAAAUUUUCCUGAACUCCAUUUGUUGAAAGGUAAGUACAAAAACCUAAGCAGUGCCUGAUAAUAAAAUUCUAAAAAUGUGCUAAAAAAUAACUUAAAACUAUAAUGUGUGCGGAAAUUAAGGAUUAGUGAAGACUGGAAGAGGACCUUGUUGAUUACGGAGUCGACUAAUUCCGCAUCCUUGAUAACUUCCUCUGCAAUAUGCUCUACCUUCAAAACAGUUUCUUUUAGUUCGCUGUUUUCUGGGAGGGUUUCUGCUACUUCUGACGAUAUCUUCUCUAUCGUCUCUGCUGCUUGCUCCACCAUCUCCACCACCGCCACCGCGGUCUUGUCAACUUGAUCUGGAGCAUAAAUCAUCUUUUUAGGGAAAGAGAUUGAUUUUUUAAAUAAAAUAACUGAUUAUUUUAAAAGUUCAAGAUACUAAUUAAAUAAGGUAUUUUACUAUCUUUAAAAAGGAACAAAAAAUAUAUUAAUACCAAGUACAAGAAUUACUAGGAAUUUAUACUUCAUCAAUAUCAUGUAAUUUGGAUACCUUCGAUUGUUAAGAAUCUCUUGUAGGAUGGCAAAGCCACGAAUAUGAUCAUGCCCAAGAUCCACUGCACCCUGCACCAAACAUGUGCUUAAUUAAAGAGUUUAACUUUUUAAUUAAAUUACCUUUAAAUUUUACGAAUGUGCUUAAUUGGUUUUUUUUUUUUUUUUUUAAUGACAAAUAUGCUACGCGGUGGAGUUAAAUUAGGAAGUAGCUAGAGAAGAGAUGAUUAAGUAAAUUUACUACGCAACAACAUGUAAAAUAUGCAUACCAUGUAGCGAAAUUGAAUAGAGAAAAUUUUGGGAGCCCUGGACUGCUGGUGUGAUUGACAUUUGUCACCCUACAUUUUUAAUUAAUAAAGGAUCAGUCACAAAUACCUAAACAAAAAAAGAAAAAGAAAAAAAAAACAACAAGAAAAAUAGGCAUGCAUAUAUAUAUAUAUAUAAUGAGGAGAUUGCGUACUUUGGAUUGUCUUGAGCUGGCUCAGCGCGGUUGGAACGAGGCGGUUGCAUUGCUCGAACUAAACGCACCCUCCGAUUCAUGCGGAUCCGUGGAGAAAUCAUGUUGGUGAGGAGGGGGUAAUUAGGGAUCAUAAUUUUAUUAGCGAGCCGAGGAGGAGAGAUGAAAAGUGCUGAGGAGAGACACAGCUUAGAAGGAUUGGGAGGAGCAAAAGAAUGAGCCAUGGCUUCUCCAAGUAGAGCUUAAUUUGUUUCAGUUUCUACGGUGUUUGUGGCUCUCUUUUUUUUUUUUUUUUUGUUUGUUUGUUCGAUUAAACAGCUUCUACGGUGUUUGUGGCUCUUGUGCUGUAGCAUUAUAUACAUAGGUCAGGUGGUGAGAGAGAGAGAGAGUACACUUUUUUCUUCAGGAUGCAUCAACCAAAUUGGUCACUGCAUCUUUUAGUCAAUUGUUGGUUAAAUGGUUGAAAUAUUAAAAUUUAAAUUUAAAAUUUGAGAUCUAUGAUGCAACUUUUAAGUCUCUGGAAAACUGGCGCGAGAUGUAGGAAUAAGAUGGUGCAAUUACAAAAUUAAUUAAAUUUAAAAGCUUAAGUUUUAUACGCAUUUUAAUUUAAAUUUGAAACUAUCAGGUUCAGAAUAUAAAUUUAAAUUAAAUAAAAGAAAUUAAAAUAAACAUAGAAGUUUGGUGAGAGUCGGGUUAAGACUUCUAACCGCGUUCCACCCUAAGAACGUCAAACUCGUGCUUCACGUGUUCAUUCCUAUCUAUGCGGACAUAAUUUCAGGGUGAAAGUACGGACCGGAGUUGUGGGGUUUGAUCAAGUGGGAGUACUUAUAACUAAAUUGUCAAUAUUUCUUUUGUAGAAGGGAAUGGAAUUUUUCGCAACUUAUAAUUUUAGUUUAGCUAUUUGAUCUUUAAAUAUUUUAAUUUUACUAUUUAAUCUUUCGAUAUAUUUGAUUUGAACCAAUCAAUAAUACUUUGAUUUUAAAAUUUAAAUGCGUCGUUUAUUUUUACUGGUUUAGAUAGCAUAUUACAUACAAUUCUUAUAACUAUAAAUUUUCAUCUGCUUAUUUUUAUUGUUAGAAAACUCCGUUGUCAUUUUGAGUUUCGCAUGUAGUGUUUGUGCGGUCUGUGUGCGGUUUGCGUCAGAAUAUUGAUAAUUUUGAAAUCCAGCUUUUUUUUGUUGUUUUCUUAGUUUGGCAUGAAACUUUGGGCACAAGUCAAGAAGUUACAUUAAACACUAUUACGGGCCUGGUGGCUCAAACUAGCAUCGCGUUGAUUUUCAUUUCUGUGCUUUUUUUUUUUUUUUUUGGCACAAAAUGAUUCUCUUAUUUAUUUGUCGUGUCAAUGUUAUAAUCGUACUAAUAUCUGAUUAAGCCGAGCCAACACCAAUACGAGGGCCAGCACUAAAGCUGCACGAUGUUUUUGUCACAUUCGUUCACCGUACCCUCCUACUCAGAAAACGGUGCAACCCACCUUCAACUAUGAGAAAUUAUUACCGUAUGGGCUUUACCCCAAUUUUACGGGUAACCCCAAAGCCCAUGGGCUCUGAUGUACCGCAGCAAACGGACUAUGUUGAUGGGUGAAGGCCCAAAAAUAGCUAGGCUUUUAGAUUCAAAAAGGAAUCUGUUUGGAAGCAUAUAGAAAUAAACUUCUCCGUUAACAUCCCACAUGUAAUUUGCACGACACUUCGCUUUGAUACUUGUGAAAACAGAUGAAAUAUUUUAUAUUGUUUGUGUUCUCUUUUUUUGGUAUACAACACAUUUUGUUGGCAAUCUCCAACGUAACAUUUGUAGCGUUAACAUGUAUAGAACUAAUUAAAAUAUGUGUGUCGGUGGAGUUCACCAUCUUCUGCUUUUUUUUUUUCUUUUUAUUUUUUCUUUCACAAAGAUUUUUUUUCUUUAGCCAGGGGCCCAGGAGCCUACAAUCCUUCUAAGGUUGAUUUUAUUUUAUUGUCAUCUUUAUUUUUUUGUUGAAUCUGGGCUAAAGGUAUUCACCACCAGCCAUUUGUUGAAGAAUAAUGACUUUUAGCUUCCAAAUUUUGCUAAAAAAUUGUCAAUUAUAUAUAUAUAUAUAUAUAGAGUUGGACUGGGCUACUAUUAGUAGCAAAAUUCCAUUAUUGCUAUCAGUUUAUUAGUCUUUGGAUCAACUCUUUUUACUAUUUCUAACCAUUGGAUUAAAUACUAUAACCCAAUGGGGACCCCUCAACCCUAGGGGACCACUCAACUCUAACUGACUAAUAUCAUCCUGACCCUACAAUUUUUUAUCCAAGGGUUAAAAACUUGAUAGCAAAAAGAACGUUUUACUAUUAAUAAUAUUCCAGCCUAAUUAUAUUUUAUAUAUAUAUAUAGAGAGAGAGAGAGAGAGAGAGAGAGAGUUGGACUGGGCUACUAUUAGUAGCAAAAUCUCAUUGUUGCUACCAGCUUUUUAGCCUUUGGAUCAAUUCUUUUCAUUAUUUCUAACCAUUGGAUUAAAUACUAUAACCCAGUGGGGACCACUCAACCCUAGGGGACCACUCAACUCUAAUUGACUAAUAUCAUCCUGACCCUACAAUUUUUCAUCCAAGGGUUAAAAACUUGAUAGCAAAAAGAGCGUUUUACUAUUAAUAGUAUUCCAGCCUAAUUCUAUAUAUAUAUAUAUAUAUAUUGUACUGACAAUGACUUUUUUUAAAAAAAAUANAUUUACUAAUUUCGCCUAUUAGGCGAUGAAUUUUUUUUUUUUUCUUUUUUUUUUUUUCUUUUUCUUGAGAUACUACCCGUAAUCUAAGAAGUUAGAGGAAUAACCAUUAAAUAAAAAAAAUUUUUUUCAGUAACAGUCAUGUUAUAUAUAUAUAUAUAUAUAUCUUAAUCCGACCUUAUGAUAAUUAUCAUUUUGCGAGAAAAACGAUAGUUCAAAAAUUGGGAACCUACUUUUUAAGUAAAUAAAUUUAGUUAUACGGAAUGAGCCAGCAAGGCCUCAUAAAAUGACAAAAACCAUCGGAAGAAAAAGAAGGUUAAAAGAAAGCAAAUCCAAAAGAAAAGAAGAAGAAAAGGAAACAAAAAAAAUUCAUAAGCGUCACCCAGCUUUACAAUACUCAGUCUACUCCGUUAUCAGCGUGUCAAUACGUUAAGCAAUUCAAAUAGCGUAGGUAGAUAGAUUUUUAAAAAUAUUAUUUCUUUCACACUAGGUCAUCCACUACGUUGCUGCCAUUAGGAUCUUUGAGCGUCCAUCUGAAUACCCUUUCGUUGCAACCCCUCCCAAAUGAUUUUGACAUCUUUAGUAAAGGAAAGAACGUAAAAUUCUUUGAGGUUCAAAAUAAAUAAAAAUUUACUAACAACAUAUCCCACCAACAGAUAAUUCAAUGUCUCAAAAACAACGCCACACAUUACAUACUAAAGGCUCCUCAACCAUUUCCUUUUUAGAAGGUUAUUUACAGUAGGCAAUUUAGCGCGAACCAAAUAAAAAUUUAAACUUCAGUUGAAAUUUUGAAUCUCCAACUGAUCUGCAUCAGGGCAUUAUAGAGUUCUUUUUGACUUAGUAAAAUGGAGGAGAAAAAUAAGCAACAUCUUUCCACUUUUUUAAGAACAAAACCUUUAUUAUUCUAUAGCAUGUAGACAAAAAAAGUGGUAGUUAAAAGUGUACAUCCUCCACUUAUGCAUGGAUACUGAUUCUACUUUUGUCAACAAUCAAACACCAACGCGAGAAAAUAUUAGAUAGAACCAGUCUGCCAUGUCAUUUGUGGAAUAAACCAAUCAAACCUUGCAGCCCUCACUCCUGUCUAUAUAUAUAUGUACUUUUCUACAGAAUAUAUAUAUAUANAUUUAUUAUAAAACGUACUGUAUUAAUACUAUAUUACAAAAAAUAUUAAAUCAAACAAUUUUCUAACCUAUAGGAUCAAAACAAACUUUUUAAGUUAUUUUUACAUAUAAUAUAUCUAUUUGAGAGUGCUUUAUUCUUUUUCUUUUUUUUUUCUUUUUGUAAAGAUCAUAUUGUUUUCAAAAAAUAUUACUUGUAUUACUUGAUACUUAUAUAUACAAUAUAACUUAAAAAGUUUGUUUUGAUCCUAUAGGUUAGAAAAUUGUUUGAUUUAAUAUUUUUUGUAAUAUAGUAUUAAUACAGUACGUUUUAUAAUAAAUUUUUUUUGGUAAUUCUUUUUCUUUUGGCAGAAGUUCUAAACUAAAAUUUCUAACUUUUCAUUACUACACAAGUUUCAAAACUUUUUAUAAUUUAAUUUAUUCAAAAAUAAUAAUUUUAAGUAAAAAUAACAUUAGAAGUUUAGCCGCAUAAAGCAAUAAAUGAACAACACAUUACUUGUUGCCCCUGGAGAGAGAGAGAGAGAGAGAGAGAGAGAGAGAGAGAGAGAGAGAGAGAGUACCGUAGGUUCAUAAAGGAGUGUUACAAGAAAUAAUUCUUCUAUCCAUAGCUUCAUGCACUCUUAUAUACGUAUAUAUAUUGGUGUAUUUUGAUUGGGUGGUCUACGAGUGACCUGGUAGACCGCAUAUAUCAACACCGUGCUACAGUGCCCAACAGGUAGAGUGUCACACCGUUAUACUGAAACACCACCUAGCCCACCAGAAGCUUUCUAGACGGAAACCGUUCCUGGACCGAGAUCCACCGGAUCAUCCGUAGACCGCCUCAUAAUCCAUAUUUCUCAUCAAUCCUCGCCACUCAAUUAGCGGUUCACGGACGACGUGGUGAACCUAGUCCAUAGAAUAGUUUCUCGCGUCCCUUUAAACGCACUUCACCGAGCUCUUUAGCCUUUAUGCGACGUUCUCCUAACAGAGGAGGGGAGAAAGGGAGAGAGAGGGAGAGAGAGAGAGAGAAACCGUUCUCGUUCUCUUGGAAGCUUCGAUAACCCCAUCCAUGGCGCCGUAUCCUCGGCUGCUCUAUCCAUGGCCGAGCAAUGCCACGGAGUGCUCAUCCGACUGCUCGCCCUCGUGCGCUUUCUAUGGUCUCUGCUCCUCUCCUCCCCACUCCUCUCACCCUCCCCCUCCUCUUCCUCCUCCUCCUUCUCCUCCUCCUCCUCCUCCUCAUCCUCACCACCCCGCCACCUCCAACACCACCACCCACCGCCACCAUCGCCUCCUCUCCCUCUCCCUCUCCCUCUCCGUCUCCGCCGCCUCCUUCUCCGCCCUCUUCCUCCUCCUCCUCGCCUGCUGCGUCGCCUCCCGCCUCCUCCGCGGGCGACGCCGCCGAUCCGCCGCCGCCGCCGCCGGAGAAGGAGACGGCGAUUUCUACGAGGCGGACCACCACGUGUGGUACAUACGCACCGUGGGGCUCGACGAGCCCACGAUCGAGGCCAUCGCCGCGUGGACCUACAAGGCCGGGGACGCCGGGCCCCUCGGCCGCGCCGCCCGGGAGUGCGCCGUGUGCCUCGGCGAGUUCCGGGACGGGGAGCUCCUCCGCCUCCUCCCCAAGUGCGCCCACGCGUUCCACCUCCCCUGCAUCGACACCUGGCUCCGCGCACACGUCAAUUGCCCCCUAUGCCGCGCCCCGAUCGUCGCCCCGCCCACCGCCAUUGAUGCGGCGCCUCCUCCCCCUCCUUCGUCUUCGUCGCCCUUGCCCUCUUCGUUGUCUCCUCUGAUUGAGCUGACCAAUCGGGAGGAGCCCGAUUUGGGCUCUUCUGCCCUAAUAGAGAUUGCCCAAAUCGAUGUAGGCCAAAUAGGGAAUGGGGAGGUCGAAAACAACGGAGUAAUCGCACCAGUGUCCUUCUCUUCUUCUUCUUCUUCUUCUUCUUCCCUGGGUAGUUCUCAAGUGAGGCUCCAACUGCUUCACCGAUCGAGGUCUAUGGACUGGUCGUCACAUACUUCUCUCAUUGUCCCGGUGGAGUUGGAGGAGAAAAGUGUAGAGGAGAGUAAACAACAUAAGCUCGAAGAGGAGUAUGGUUCUAAGAGCAGGGGAAAACAAGGAAGUGCUUCAAAGGGAGUUUCCCGGCUGCAGAAGAGUCCUCUAGAUGUGGAAUGUAUUAAGAUGGAAAGGUCUCUGUCAAGUAGUAGCAGUUCAAGGCUGCUUUUGUCGCGGCACGGACGGGCACGGAGCUCAGUUCUACCAUUGUGAAGAACUAUGAGGAGAAAUAGGGUGCUUUCAUGGUGAGAGUUUUGCUUCCAAGUUUCGGACUGUUUAGCUCUACAUAUACCGCUGGUACAAAUACAUAUAUAGCUAGAAAGAUAAGAAAGGUAAUAUCCCUACAUGCUUCGUAUAUUUGACAGAUUGAAGUUAUAGAUUAUAGAUAGUAAGAGAUGCUUUGGUUUGGUAUAGCAGCUUGAUAAAUGAAUGGUCUAGUUAAUCCGGCUUUAGUUAUAAGUGCCGGAAUUGUAAAUAGUGAUGUUGAAGGAGGUUUUCAGUAUUGAUGCCCCUCCCCUACAUCCCUUUUGGAGUGAUACACAUUAAUUAAGAGCAUUUGUUGACUGCAUUGCUUAAUUGUCUUGCAAUAAUUUUGUGGGGGAAUUUACUUAGGUAACAUGAUUAAGCUAAUUUUUUAGUCCAUUUGAUUAAUGGUGCUAUUCCUCUCCUGUAGUUUUUGGCAAAAUACCAAUUAGCUUUAGGUAAGUCACUUAUAUUAUGCUCUCUUGGCUUGUCAUAUGAAUGUAUGCAUAUAUAAGGACAACUUAAAUAAUAGGAUUGUUAACGUCAUACUAGCUUUGUAUCCAAUAUAUAGCUUUUAAAGCUUUUAACAUCAAAUGCUAUAUAGUAGCUAAAAUAUACUUCUCUAAACCAUAUAUAUGGUAGUAUGCUUGGAAAAAUAGUAGUAACUUAAGUUAACAUACAAAUACUGGUUGUGAUAAUAGAGGCAUAAAGAGGAAAAGUUACUUGUAAGUUUAAAUGCCCUAUACUAGCCUCUACAGAAAUUUAUUAGCAAGUUAGCUUUACCAGAGCUCAUUAGGGAGCUAGCUUUCAUAUCGUCUAACUUAUCAUUACAUAGCUCAGUUCUACUACUAUGCCCUUAAACAACAUUUAGGCUUCGUUUGGGAUUGCGGGGAGUUUGCGUUACGUGCGGUGAGAAACGACGAUAGAAAAAUACACCGUUUGUUUCCGUACGUAAUAUUGCGUUCCGCGUAUUGCGGUUAGUCGGUUACGAUAUAUUUUUUGCAGUCCCAUCGGAGAACGCAGAAGCAUAUCCCUAUAUGCUUUUUCUCAGCUCCAUUCUAUCUAAUAGCGUUAGAUCCGCCUCAAUACCAAACUAAGCCUUAGAAGCAUCUAUGCCGUUGAAAAUGUGAUAAUGUCUGAUUCCACUGGCCAAAGAUCAAAAUUUGUUUUAUAUCAUUUGGAAAAAUAUCGUUUGUAUAUCUAUUGACUCUCUUUCUGGAAGUAUAAGUUUGAUAAGGAUCCAAUCCUGUGUAUCAUGCUAACCCAAUACAUGCGAUUCUUACUUUAUGGAGUGAAAUUAAAGGAAUCAUUCCUCAAAACUAAAGAUCCUUGCACUAAUCAAAUAGCAAUGUUGUCCAAUAAUAUUUACUCCAACGGUCAAUAAAGAGGAGUGUUUUAUGGCCGUUCAGCUUCUAGGAUACAUGAGAUUUUUGGAUGUGUAAAUGCAAAUUCUAGACUUUUUGGACAGGUAUACAUGCAACGUUUAAUCUUUGAAAGCAAAUAUGCUCCUUUUGACUAUAAAUAACCUAUAUCUAUAUGACAUGGGUAUAGUUCUUUUGUAUUGUAACUUUGUUUAUUCAUGAAAUCCAUUGAAAAUGGGAGCGGAGGAAACAAUUUCAGUUGAGAAAAAUAGUCUUUCAUUUCCUUUUUUUUCUUUGUUGAAUGCUGCUCUUUACACAGCAAUCACUGUGAACUGGACAACUGUGUCAGCUUCCUGAUCACUAGACCAUAGAUGUCCACACAAAGCUGUGAAAAUUUUCUUGCCUGACUAUCCGUUCGUAACUACAAGGUGCUACUCACACAGCUAUGAAAAUUUUCUUGCUUGACCUUUUGUUCUUACUUAUUUUGUGCUAGUCCAGUCUCUUAUUCUUUUCUUCUUUUUCUGCAGACUUCUCAGUUCAUUGGUGUAGGUUGUCUUGCUGAUUGCUGAUUGCUGAUUGCACACUUCUUGUGGUAAAUGAUUUAAGCAAGACAAUUUACGAGUGCCAAACUUAUUUCCUUUCUCAUAACACUCUAAUGAGGAACAUUAUUUGAAAAUCAGGUCUUGUUUGUGUACUUCAGUCCGAAAAGGAGUUAUGACUUCCUUUAUAAAAUAGAUACACAUAAUUGGUUCUUAUUCUUUCCAUUAUAUGACUAUCAACAUGGGAUUCGUCUUUCACCAUAAGAAUCAUCAAAUAGUUUUUAGCUAAAUUAGAUAGAAAGAACCAGAAAUAACUGAGAAUAAGAAAUAGCUGACAACCAUGUUUGAUAAUGCUGAUACCUAACAACUAAAUGGGAUGGAAAGAUAAGGUAUCUUCAAUUCAUUCAUCACCGAAGAGUUUCGGUGUAGUAGUUUUGACAUAAUGUUGCAUAUGACUCAUUAUUUAUGUUCUUUGUUAGAUACUGCUACAUUUGCAAUCAGCACUAAUUAUUUAUAACAUAUUUUCAUCUAGUGACAAAUUGUAUUGUUUUUACUGUCUAUCCACUUGAGGUUGUGUUCAUUUUUAUCAAUUGGAAAUGUCCCUCAAGAGUUGUCUGGACACCUAAAUAUGCAGUUUUGAAUCUUUGACUUAAGGUAGAUUUGAUUCAGAAAAGGCUUUCAUGUUUGUUUAUUCUUAACAUUUUCAGUUAUCUACUGACUUGGCUUAUUUGUAGAUCUUUCUGUUUUCACAAUUGUCCUUCUAUCUCUAAUACUAUUAUCCUGCCAAUGUCUCUAUAUCAUGUACUCGGGGCAUUGAAAUGUAUUCAGAAUGUGCUAAUUUGUGCACUGUUCAUGACAUAGUUAUGCAACCAAGUGAUAUCAAUAGGACAAUUUUUAUACACUAUGUUAUGUGCAUAAGACAAUUUGUACACUACAUUAAGGAUAUCUCUAAUGCUUAUAUGAUGAUUUCAAUUAUCUGCUUCAUGUAUUGAGGGCAUUGAUAUAAUGAGAAUGCGAUAAUUUGUCUACUGUUCAUGAGAAAGUAAUGUGACAAUUUAUACACUAUAUUUUGUGAAUAUGACAAUUUGUACACUAUAUUAUGUGGAAUUAUUGCCUGGACCUGGUCUACAGUCCAUGUUAGGCAGAAUUUUGGUUAUUGAGAGAGCAUGUAGAAACAAGAGAGCACUUAAUUAAUGGCUAUGUUUUACAGUUUUACUUGUCUGAUUUGUUAGGGAUAUUCUCAAGCAGUGUCCUAUCAGAUCAAUUUCAGAUCAAGUUGGUGGGUACCUUGAUCCACGGAUGUCCUGGUAGAUCAGUUUAUGCAUCAGCUCUGCCAUGUGCAUCAUAGGUGAGGCAUGAAUGGAAUUUAACAGUGGAAAAUAACGUGAAAUUUUAACCCAAAUAUCUUUAUGUUAGGGAUUUUAACCGGUGACCUCAUGUGAUGAGAGGCGGGUUUACGGUCGGCUUUAAUACCAUAUUACCCAAGAUCACUAAGCAGAUUGGAAAUAACUAGGAAUAUUCUUAAUAUUACUGGCCCAAUCACCCAUAAGCGAAGGAAAUCUAUGCACUGACAAGCACUUGUCAUCUUUUAGCUUUAGCCUGAUGGGAGUCCAGACAAUCAAGUCUCAAAUUGCAGUGGAUCUUCUGUUGCUCAUUUUGGUCUAUAGCAUUAUUAUGAUGCCUACAUCCAACAGAAUAAUUGCACCAAAGCAAUCAGCUAUAGCAUUUUGGGACCUGAAACCCUGCCCUUUGUUGAAUAGACAUGGUCAGAGUAACAGUGGACUAGUGUUAUUUAAUUUAUCCUCUGCUUCCUUUCUUUCCAUCUGUUCAUGCAAAAUAGUAUGUUCAAGCACUGUUUUUAACUUUAAUGUAUCACAUGAUAGGAAUCAGAGUACUGCUACAUGACCCCAACAAUAUGUUAUUACACAUGAUGUGAAGAUUUUUGUUGUCAUGCACGCAAUCUAAAAAUAUCAUAUAUUUUUGUCAUUGACAACUUUCUAAAAAACCUAAGGCAUUUUCGUAGAAAUUUUCUUUUCUUCUCUUUUCCAUCCGUCUAUUAUUACGAGUCCCUGUAUUGAAAGACCCGCAAACACAAAUUGUCCAUUGAGUGAAUGGUCAUUCAAUAUUCUCCAACAUCUGCUCCUAUUUUCCUUGUUUCACUGUUGCUUUUCCUUGUGAAUGGUCAUAAAUAACUGCAACCACUCAGAAUUAUGCAUAUUCAACUGAAAGAUUCUCUUGUAACUUAUUCUGCCCACUUCUUGUUCUUUUUCUCUUUCUAGUCUUUUGCUUUUCCUACUAGAACAAAACCUCUCUUUGAAUUGAGAGAAGCUUCUGCUUCACCAACUAGAUGCUUCUUUGGGUUCCAAUGCAUUACCUACUUAGAAAAUAAUACAUCUCACCUGUGCCAUGUUGUUACCUAUUAGACUAAGCUCUUUAAAUAUUUUCUUAGCCUUAUGGUGGUAGUUGGCAAUUGACCAUUACCAUUUUAGUUUAUCUGGGAAAAGAUAUUAUUUAAUAAUAAUUUCAAACAAUAGAAAAUUUAACUCUUUUUUUUCCUGCUUGGUCUUAAGCAAAUUAAGAGAGAAUGAACAGUGAAGUGUUACAAGAAAUUACAAUGUUUAUAACAGUGUGCACAUUAUGUUCAGUUGUCAAAACCAUUUUCUCCUACUGAGAUCAAUCAUCUCAUAUGUGGAAUAUACUAUUCUAAAUUCACGGCGUUGAGACCUUACAGGGCACUGGAAGCAGUUUCCUACAUUUCAAUUCCAGAAGAAUAUAUAAUCCACACAAGUUAUCACUCAGUAACUUGUUUCUGACAUCGAAACAGGUCUUUGAUCAAUGGAUUCUAGAAAUAGAAACCCAUUUCUUAUCUUAGAGAGCCUGUUUUAUUUUUGCUGAAAUGGAUCUCCAGAGAUUCUGAUGCCAAACCUUUCAGGGCCAUCAUGAUCAGCUAUAAAUCGUGCACACACUUAAUCUCACACACGAGACCUCCACAAUGCUUGUAACUCGAAAUCACUCUAAAUGCUGGGAAUUUAUUUACUAAACUUAGCGUCCUCUUCAAUCCUCCCUAUCAUCUGAUACACAGUUGUUGCAAUCUCAUCCACAGAAGUAAAAUGGCAAUCAUCCGCUACCUGCCAAAUAAAAGACAAAGAGAUGCAUUAGCUUUGCAAUUUCACAAUACCAAAACGUUGGUAAGGGGGGAAAAAAUGUCACCUCCAUUGUAUUAUACCUUAAGGCUAAAUGAGUAGAGAACCAUGUCAUCCACAGUGGUCACAUUCAGAUGCAGCGGUAUGAACCGGAGAUUUUGCAACCCUGCCACCAUCUUCAGAAGCUGUUUUGGCUGCCGCUUCGACAGAACCUUGAGAUUGACAUGGCUCUCGACCACCGUCACCUCAAUGUCAGCUACUGCUGAUUGGUUGUCAGUAACCGUUCCGCUGUUGCUGCCGCCGCCGCCGCCUCUGCCAGAGAAGCUCGAGUACUGGGGAAAGGCAAAGAAGUUGGCGAAGGGAGAAGCGAGACUGGUCGAAUCAGUCUGCACUUGCUUUAGCCUCUUUUGGACUUCGAGGGACUGGAGAAGUUGCUCGAGCUCCUUCACGUAAUUUAUCGCGCCACCGACAAUUGAUGCUUGAUCACCCUAUACUCCAAGGACAGAAAGAUAAGCUCUGAUGGACUUGGAUGCUUUAGUAUUUACAUCAUUCGAAAAAUGUUUAUGACACAACUAAAACGACGAGAUGAAUAUAUGUACCCUCUGGACAUAGGAGGGGGGCAUAAGUGACCGGAGAAUGGCCAGGUACUCGUUCAUUUGCCGACGGCGGUUGCGCUCGACAGCAAUGUGGGUCAUCCUCUGGCUCUCCACCUCCUCCAUAUUCUUAACACUCCUCGUCCGCCGCCUCUUCCUCCGUCCAUCCACAGCCUUCAUAGCCUCCUCCCCCUCCGCCUCCACCGCCACGCCCCAAACUUCAGCCGACGAGGAGUUAAUCUCCCACUCAUCUAGAUUUUGCACAAGAGAAGAAGAUGAAGGGUUCCAGUUCUCACCAACCCAACCACCCAUCUCACAUUCUGACAUUUCCAUCUCCUCCACCACCACCAUAUUGGCUAAGUCAUUGCCCCAUAUUCCUCCCAUAUUGGUGUAUAAUUCCUUACAAUUGUAACCAAAUAUGUCUUGUGGGAACACCACGGCUUCUAAUGCCAUCUCUCUCUCUCUCUCUCUCUCUCUCUCUCUCUCUCUCUCUCUCUCUCUCUCAAUCUUUGAAGCUAAAUAGUGGCACAAGAAGAAGCAUACCCAACUUAUAGCUUUUCUCCCAAUGGGGAAGAGGGUGGGCUUUUUAAAGGCAACAAAAGGGAGCAGAGAGAAACAAGCAGAGGCCACGUGAGAGCAAGGGAGGGGGGAAGACACUCUGUGUGAUUUUUUUUGUGUUGGGGGAAGUAAAAUUGCAAGGCUACAGCAAAUAUAAACAGGGUAUGUAUUGGGCAGUGGUGUCUCUUAGACCCUUUUGUUUGAUUUGCAAAUAAUGGGACAGGCAUCUGCGAAGAUAUCGCGUGCACCAAGUGCUCCUGCGAAUUCAUGUACCGCACUGCUGUCAUCUAUCUAUCUUUCAAUCUAUCUGGCGUUUUGAUCCAUGCCGUAUAGUAAGUUGCAGUUUUUUCUCUAAUUACAAAUUGACUGACUGGAUUAAACAGAAGUAUGUGUUGAAAGAUUAGAUGACUUUCAAAAGCUAAAUGCAAAAUUAUAAGAUAUUAGAUGUGAUCUUUAAUCUCUAAGAAGUACGCAUUCAAAAGAUUGUAGUUUGUGAAAGCCUAGCUAUUUGUAAGGAAUCAAGUAGCUCCAAAGUCAAUAGUGCUGAAAAAAAGACUAUUGCUCAUCAGAUGACAAAAAUAUUUCACAAAAUUAUGAGUUAUAAGGCUAAGUUAAUGGGAGGGUGAGACCCCACCAUGCCUUGUUUAAGUGCAAGUUGUGUGAUUUUUCCAAAUGAUCAUUUGGAUUGUUGGUUUGGUUUUCUCCCUUAUGGGCUUGAAUUUUCUAAUCUUAGUAAAUUUGUUGAGAAUAUUAUCUUCGUUCUACUCUUAUUAAGUCUCCUACUCAAAGAGGGGAGCUUGUGAAUUUGCUACAUAGAAUCAUAUAGUACUUCAUAGGUUGUACAAUCUAAUAAUUUGGUUGCUGAAAUAAUUGAGAGCCUUCUCUAUCACUACUACAGGAAAAAGGAAAGGAUACAAUACUCACUAGGUUCUACCUAAUAAUUUUUAUGAUAGUGCAACUACAAUCUACAUGCAUGCUGAGUACCAAGUUGAACUGUUGACAAAAGUGAUAUUAUUGUUGAUACACUUAUCUAGUUUCCAAAACUAAUUUCUUUUCCAAAGCCAUACCUAACAUGGUGUAAUGCACCCUAUUGAUGCCACAAUCAAACACAGUGAGAAGGAAAUGUUUACUUAAAACCUUGUAAAAUAACACAUUCUUUUUUCUUUUUUGUGGAAAAAAUAAGCACUGUGACAAGAUGCGUGCUUAUGGAGAACGAUCAAGAUGGUGAUGGCAUUACAAAACCACCAUUUUGUGAUGACGGAUUAAACUUCUUAAAUCAGCGGCUAAGCACCGGUUUUUUCUUUAAACACACCCCGGCAUUCGACAAAAUCCAAUAUUUGGCAGGAGCUGACGUUUUGGAAUUUCCUAAUUAUUUUUUAAUAUUACUGGGAAUUCAUGAUGGCCACGAGAUGUGGCCUUUCUCUUCAAGGCAACACACAAAAGCACAUCUAAACACUGCUCUUAAUAUAAAAUUAAAGGCGAAAACCAACUGGCCCCGUCUCUUAAUCUUUCUCCCUAAUCCUCGUUUACUCGAUUCGAUUGAAAGAUUUGAGCCGCGACUAACAAAUUAAGAACAGUGCAAGUUGCUUCCUCCCUUGUCCUCUGUUAACUACAAUAAGGCUAUUAUUGAAAAGUAGCAGAAUCAAACUUGUUAUCCUAAUUAAUGUCAACUUAACACCACUGGAAGAUACAAUUAGUAACUUAAAAUAAGUUGAUCAAGACAAAAACCUAAUCAAUCUACUGUGUUACUUAACAUGUUGGACUGCACCCUGUCGUCCUUAGCCUGGUCCAAUUAGCACAAUUGAGUUAUUAUAAGCUGAUUAUGUUGCGGUGAAACAUCGUCUAUAGAUUCGGAAUAUCGCCGAUAGAUUUGGUGGGAUCAGUUGAUUACAGAGUCGGAUUGAGUUGAUCCGGUGACCUGAAUCCGGCGAGUCCACAUGUGGGGGAUGAUUCACCCAAUUAAUUUGGUGUGAACAAGGGCCCCAUAAUGUGGUCCAGGGUGUACCAAAACGGUAAGGAAAGAAUGACUUGGUUCUGAUUUCAGUUCAAAGAAAUUAUUAUGUGGACCGUGGUCUAUAGACCGCAGGCUCUCCAAAACUCAAGUAUACAGGCACUAAAAUUUGGAUGUAAAUGCAUGUAAGAUUAAAUGUUGAACAUCGUAGUUCUUAUUGCCUAAUGUAAGGCUUUAUCUUUGAGUUUUGGAGACUCCGGUGUAUUGAGCGCGGUCCAUGCAUUUGUGUUUUUUUUUUUUUUUUUUUUUUUUUUUGGCACUCAUUUUGUUGUUCGAAUGUUUCUGGAAAAGGCUUUGUUUAUUGUAUGGGCCGUGGAGAAUCAGAAGGGUAUCAAAUGUGGGGCUUUUGGAUAGCCGCGCACGAAAUGGUUUGGUUCAGUGCAUGGUUUACUCCAGGUGUGAAAACAUUGAAGUAACAGCAUUUGCAAACUUGUUUGUAUUAGGCUACUAAUUGUUUUCUUUUUUUUUUUUAUAGCAUUCUAUUGAUUGUAUGAAUCACUUCUCUCAAUAAGAUUUCCUCCAAUGCACCAGCUCAAGCGCGGGGUUGUUUCACAUGUCCUGAUGUUAGAGUAAGAGAUCAUGAGAAGCCGAUGUUUUAAAACUGUUGGAUCAUUUGCGCUAAUUAUUAAUUCUAAAAGUUUGAACUGUUAGAAAGAUGUGAUCAAUUUACUAAAGCAUACAGACACCACGCACAUGGGUUUCAAUUGUGAUUCAGUCCAACUAGUCUCAUGCCACUUUGAAUGUUAUUCGUCUCAAUCCGAUCACUCGUUAUUUCGAAAGUGACUCGACCCAACUUAACUUCUCGUCAUAGAAAAAAAUAUUAGUUCCUUUAAUCCCCAAAACUAUCAAAACAAAUCAAAGAGUGUUAGAUAUAAAAACAUUAAUACCGACGUUCUCUACAACUUAAUAACUUUUAUGAGCAACAAACAAUUAUUUCGCAUCACGAGCGGCGAAAGUCCGACCAGGUUUUUAACUCAGACAGAACUCAACUUAGACCUUAUAUGUGGAUUCCUUUUGUAUAACAAGUUGGCUGUAGGCUUCCUAAUUUGAAGAAACGUCUCAAACUAACUAUACGGCGCAGAAUACUUCUGCGCUUAUUCGCAAUGGGCUUAUGUCCUUUGCCAUCUAAGCUAAGACAGCUAGGUGAGACGGAUUAUCAUGUUGUGUCGUUAUUUUUGUAAGGUAAACCAUGAUUCGUCAUUAUCGCGGUCAGAAAAAAAAAACAAAUCCCAAUUUUUUUUUGAAAAAAAAAAAGGCAAACUAUUCGUUCUGUUUAUUUUAAAAAAAUAAAUUCAGCUAAAAAUAUAAACUUUAAAUAUAAAAUUUCGAAUAUCAACUAUCAAAUAUCAAAUUUUUAACUAAUUAAGCUAAAUAUAUAGUUCGUACUGCGUCUCCUCGAUCUGCUUAUUGGGUAGGUACAAAUACACAUGCAUGUAGCUUGUUGUCGCUUCCUCCCCUGCAACAGUACUGCUACAGAUUCAAGUGCAGAAACUCAGCUUUUUUUUUUCUCCAAUAAACCAAACCUGAAUUUCAAACGUUUCCCUGGGUUGUGCCAGCUGGCGCAGAAUCUAGUAUUUCUCGUAGAUCGAAGCAUUCUUUGCUGACGUGGCAGCCUACGAGUCGAUGUGUGUACGGUAAGAUAGAGGAAAAAUUCUAGAAUGUAACGGACAUAUUGGUGACAUGACGUAACAAAUCAAUCAAAUAUCUUCAUUUAGAAGUAUAUGUUCCAUCAUAAUUGUAAAAAAAUAUUUUUAUUGUACUUUUGUUUGAAAAGAAGGAAUGUGAUUGACUUGCUAAUUGAUGACGUGGUGCAAGUGCGAUACUGUAGAAUACCUCGAGGUAGAGACCCAAUAGAUGCCCGAGAAAUUAUUCCAUGGACCGCGGCCUGUAGACCCGGAUCGAUCUCCUUUAACUCAAUUAAAAACGCCCGAACACAAAUUUUUUAAAAAUUAUUACAUUUGAUCUACAAAAAUAAUAAGUGAUUAUGAUUACAAAAACCAACGGUGCUAAAAUAUCUACUACUCGUUAUAAAAUAAAAUUAAAAGUAUGAUGAGAUUCGAACUUAAUAUUUCAAAAUAGUUUACUUACUAUUUAUGUGGUAUUGCACUCUUAAAAUUGUAGAACUAAUUUUGGUAAUUAUGGUAGAUGCAUGUAACGCUGCGAUUAAAAGUAAUCUAAGCAAUAAUAUGAAUACUUUUCCGAGAACAAUAUGUAACACAGGCCCAUUCUUCUCCUGUUCCACCUAACCAAAAUCUUUCUCAACAAUAAGCAAACAGGUAGGUUCCGACAUUCAUGCUACUGUAAUGGUGCCCGUUUUGUCACAUGCAUCAAACCUAUGUGCCAGGCUCCUCCUAGGGCUAGGGUUUCGAAGAUAUAUAUGCCAUCAACUGUGACAAAAAAACAGUCAUUUUUCCGCAUAAAAACACUACUACUGGCAUGAGAAUCUACCUAUGUUAUUUUUAAGAGUACUGAUGCCAGUAAUUAAAUUUGGAAGGUGUUUUUAAAAAGGUUGCUUGUAUACUGAAAAUAUUGUAUCUGAUCAAUACAUCUUUUAAAACUAUGAAGGAACAGUUGAUCGGUGUUGUAUAUAGAUACCGAGUAACGGUAGAUUCCUGCGUGUUUCAAAUUUGUUAAUAAUAGUAGUUCAAUGUUGUAUAAAAACAAAAAUCUCAGUCCAUAUAUAUAUAAAUUUCACUCUUUAUCAUGAGUUUUAACUUUUUGGAUUGAUUUUCAAAAUAUGAAGGGUCUCCACCACUUUUGAUUUUUCUAAUUUUGUUUGAGUUGACAAAAUCAUCAAGAGCUCAAAUGCAAAUAAUCUAGAAUAUCAAGGACUAUAUAUUAAAUUUUCUCUUCUCGAGACCCUAGUUGUCUCAUCUCUGUAGCCUAAUUCAUUUAUUCAAUGAAUGAAGCAUGCUAUCUAUUCUCAAAAAAAAAAAAAAAAAAACAUGUUUUUUGGGGCACGAGCCCUUAUAACCAGGCCAAAUAACCUUGUCGGCAGGAGAAUCUAAUGAAUAGUUUAUUUAGGUCCGUACACAUGCAAUUCUUUUUUAUUUUAUUUUUUAGGAAAAUACACAUGCAAAUUAAGUAGAAGGGAAUUUAAUAUGUCUCCGAGGGAUCAAUAUUUUGGUGUGAUUAGUUGUGGAAUAAUUUUGAGGUGAGUGCUUUAAAUUGAACCCAGUAAUUAAAUCAAAUAUAUAACAAACCAUGUUUCCUCACCACAUUCUAUAUAUAUAUAUAAAUAGUUGCAUAUAUGCCACAACAAGAGACAAAUUUAAUUUAUGGCUUUGUGUGGUCGUCAACAUUUGUUCGUCGUGAACUUUAGGUCGCAAUUGCAUGAUGACAUUUUCCACGACCGAGUCUGUGGAAUAAUAUUACAAAUUUUAAGCAUUUUAUUUAAAUUAGAAAUCAAAGCUUUAGAUUGGAAAAAAAAAAAAGUUUCAAAGGUUCGGCCAAGGAAGCAUUUCAAUAGUUAAAUUAAAACUCUAAAUUCAAUUAGAAAACAUGAACAUGGCCGAAUUCGGGACUGGAUUUAGCAGGACAGAUUCGAAAUGGAUUGUGGACAUAUAUAUAUCUAGCUUCAUUCAUUUAACGGAUUCGGACGAGGACUCCACCAAUGUGAAAGAGUCUCAAAUGGCCCCAGUGUCUCGUCACGUUUAUUUCCUUUUGGACUUAGUUGGGUCGAGCCAUGCAUUUGGAUUCGAACACGUCCCACGGCAUGGACACGAGCGCGACAAAGCGACCGAGUCCGAACGAGCGUUAAAUUGUCGCGGCGCGUUUGGACGUAGCGCAAAUACGACAUUUGUCCACAUAUGAGCCAUCCACGUGGCAAGUAUGUUGAUUAUUGGCUCAUUGGGCCCCAUCUCCACGGUCCAACCUGGAGAACUUUCCAUCGAUGCAUUAUUAAGGAGCCUCCGUGCAACCACCACCAAGUAUCAGUUUUAUUUUUAUUCCAGAGUUCAAAUUUUUUCUUCUAAAAUUUUAAAUUUUUUUUAAAAAAAUUUGUAUCAUAAAGCACCUAAUAAAUUUUAGAUGAAGAUAAAAUUAAUACAUGGUAGAGAAUAGGACACGCUAAAUGAGGUGUCACUGGAAAGCUCCACUACAACAGAAUUAGAUUAUAGGGACACAUGUUUGAGACACUUUUGAGUAAGUGUCUCAUUUAUGCUAAAACUUAAAAACACAUCUACUAAUGCCUAAAUAUAAAGCCCAAUCUAACCAAAAAUAAAAGAUUGCUCUACUCAAUCCACCACACCCAGUCCAUUUGGCCCGAUUACAAACAGAAAAGAAAAAAAAAAAAAAAAUUAAUUACCAUCUUUUCUUCUCUCUUCACUCAAUCCACUGAAAUUCUAGAUGAAGGGCCUUUACUGUCGUCCUCCUCCGCCACCGCAGCCAACGAGAUAGAGUUUCGGCUGUUGCUAAAUGCUUAAAUAAGUGUUGGUAAAUUAGCAGCACUCUUUUAGAUUAUAGCGACACUCUUUAACUGUCACAAUAUACCUAGCGACCCCAUAUAUAGCAACACUUUUUAAAAGUGUCGGUAAUUUUAGCUAGCAGCACUUUUUUGAUAUGUACCUACAUUUAAAAGUGUCGCUAUAGACCGUUUUUGUUGUAGUGCUCCCUGAUGAAAUUUUAUCCACGUACCUUGUCUCGCACUAAACCGCUUUUCCCCGCUAAACAACCAACUCCAACCCCUGUUUUUAGUAGCUUAUUGCCUCAGCCCAGUCAGCCCCGUUAUCAGUGCACCAGCCAAUUAAAUUACGUUAUCUAAGUUUAUUUCCAAUCACUACCAUCAACUUGGUAGCAAUUCUAUUUUUCGCGUUUAAAAUGAUUUUGUGUAGAUUUAUCAGUUAUUAACAUAUGAUGACGAACAAGGUCCAAGCAACAUUACUUUCCUCUGAAGUUACAAAUUUCUAUUUAAUGUUUUGAAAUUAGCUAGAAAAUGGUUUAAUAUUCUAGCCUAUAUGCAUGUGGUGACUUAAGAACAAUAUUUUCGAAUAGCUUGCUUGUGCAUAUAGUAACAUUAUCAAAAAGUUUGGAGGCGUUCACUGCUGACGAAUGCAUUCGAGCCAUUCAAUGCAAAAAGCUUAAAUACAUACAUCCAGUUUCUGAUAAGCAGCGGAAUUGUAUAUAUCCUGUACGAGCGCUCGGCUUGCGUACAACAAGUGCCCAAUGUUUGAUAACAGGAAUAUAUAAUUAAGAUCAUGCGAUGCAGGACGAGUUCACAUGAGGAUCAGGAUAUCUAUGUAUCAAGGACCAGACACACUGAGAGGAAGGGGACAAUCUAUUUUUAACCUAUAGACCCUUCUCUCAGGUCAAAAUAUUCCACUCACACAAAUCAUAUGCUCCCUUGAAUACAACCACUGGAUCCUGUUAAUUUACGAGCCAAUUUUGUACUAGCUAGCUAGUAAAAUUUCACACUUUUGUGCACACGUAGUGACAUCUAGUGAUAUAGAUAUACAUGUCUACACUUUCGUGCGUCCCCAUAUAUAUAUUUUUUCUUUAUAUUUCCACGAGGUUUUAUGUCUUUCAUGGCCACAGUAGAAUCGUUGCUUUGCCUCUCAAAGUUAGCUUGAAUGAUAUAUAAGCGGGAAAAAGAAGAUUAUGAAGAUGCUAUUUUAACCUGAGUUCUAAAGCAUCAUUGAUUCUACUAUUUAGUGGUAGAAAAAGAAUGUAUCUAAUUCAGACGUACGUGUUUGACAAAUUCUCUUUUUUUUUUGUUCUGAAAUAUUAGUAGGUAGUGCAGCUGCUACUCUAGUCGAGGAGAGAAGCAUAUUAUUGUUGUUAGGGUUGUCGAUCUCAUGGUUGUAAUCGGCUAUAAGUUUUGUAGUUCGUCGAUUAAAAAUUUCAUUUUCCGGAUUAAUUAGUUCAUUUGGACGGUUUAAUAUAUAUAUAUGCUUGAGUAUUGCUUGUUUGAUAUAGCUUGUAUAAAUAAGGUGAGCUUGAAAUUAAUCCAGUUGGGUUACAUAUUAGUUUCCGUUUCUAAAAAGAAAAAAAAAGAAAGAACUAAAAGAGAAGAAAGGGUGAUCAGUUCCAUAUAAAAUAUAAAUCGAGAGAUUUAAAAUCAUUGAUAUGUCGUAAUAGGGUCAUCUUUACUAAUUAGAAUGAGUUUGAGGACUUUUCACGGUUUCUCUCCUUUCGCACAACAACAUAUAGUAAUGGUUUCAAGCAUAAAGGCUUAAACUUUUGCACUAGACAGAUUUUAUUAGAAUUGUCACACUCUGAGCUUAUGGCAAGUAACUGAUCUAUUAGUUAAUAAUUAUUCAUUAAAAAUGACAAAGGAAGAAAUAAGGAAUAUGUAUAUCUGAUCUGAAAUUAUCUACAUAACCAUAAAAGGAGGGGGAAAAUCAAAUUUAAGGCUUGAACUAUAUUUGGUUCAAGCAAGCGAUACGUCACUUCUCUACUUCUAAUUCGUCGACAACAAUAAUGUGAACCAAACUUUGAUUAAGUGAAUCAUUUGUUGGUUCAUUAUAUGGAUAAACAAAUGCUGCAUUUUUCACUUCAGCUCGGCCUGUUUCUCCAUCCUUGUGCUUGCUUUCAUAGCCUGCAAAAAACACACCAAGAGAGUAUGGAUUGAAAUGAAAUCGGAUUGAAAUGAAAUUUAGAAAAUUAUGAAAAAAAAAGACCAAAAAUUUAAUAAUCUCACCUCCUUAUCCCAAUCACACCGGAUCGUUAGAUAUGCGAGUAUUAAUGUUUGAACUGCAGUUCCACCAAUCAUUCCGGCCCAUAUACCCUGUAAAUAUCAUAGGGGUCACAAAUGGACAAUUAUAUAUCUUAGGUCAUAGUUACAAGAUCCAAAUAAAAAGACAUGAAAUAUUUUCUUCUUUUUUUCGCUUUUUGUUCCAAUUGCGAUGAAUCACAAAGCUUGCAUAAAUUUCAAGUUAAGGAGUAAUUGUAAUGCUUAGAAAAUUUGAAAAAUAAUUAUAAAAUUAACGACGCAUAGGGCAAAAUAACUUGAUUCUUGGUUAGAUAUAUAUAACGAAUAUACCUCGCUAAUUUUGUUAUAACUUUGUUCAAUCUAAUAAGAAGCAAGUACAGCAAUAAUGUAGCUAAGGAGUAAUUAAAGAAACAAAGCAUACCAAAACCCCCAAAUGGAAGAGCCAUCCCAUAAGAACUCCCAAAGGAAUUCCAAUGAGAUAGUAUGACCCAAUGUUAACAUAAGCCACCAAAGCUUGCCACCCAGACCCCACAGCUACACCUACAUUAAUUAAUUACAUGCAAACACACCAACAUUAGAAAAAUUCCAAGUCACCAUAAGUAAAACUAUAUCUAUAUAUAUAUAUAUAUAUAUAUAUAUGUGUGUGUGUGUGUGUGUGUGUGUGUGUGUGUGACAAAAGAGCUAAAGAAUAAGAAGCAAAAUAAUGUACUGAGAGGUGAAUAAACUCACCGGAUAGAACAGGUUGUAUGCUGUUUAGGAGGAUAGUGAAAGCCAAUAGAAUAGAAAGCUUAUCGACUGCUUCUAAUACUACUUCACUUGACGUGAAGAUUAGCGCGAACUUGUCGUGGAGACUCAUGAUCAAGACGCAGAAGAAGAGGCCUAUUAUAAUUGAAGUUACCACGGAAACUAUCGUCGCAAAUCGGGCGCCCUUUCCAUUCCCCGCACCAAGUUCGUUGGCAACUCGGACUCUUUAGAUCAUAAGAAUAAGCAUUAUAUGAGAUACCAUAAGAUGUGCGAUAAUCUCUUGAUAUUUGCUUUGUAGUUGUACAAAAAAAGUAAAGAGAGAUUUAGGGUUAAGUGUUCUAAUUAAGAAAUGAAUUGCAAAUCAUAAAGCAACAUAUAUAGUUGAUAGUUGAUUAAACAAGAAUGUUAAACUUGGGUCCGGUUGGCUUCGGUCCGAGCUCAACUAUUUCGGCUCAUUUUGAUUUUGAAUUCAAUGCUCGAGCUGGCCCAAUCAAUCUCGAUCGAAAGAAGCCCAUAUUACCUACCUUGGACAACGUGGUCCAUGACGACACUAAACAGGAUGGGCCUGAGCCCUUCUUUUGUGUGUGUGUGUAUAUAUAUAAAAAUAUCGACAUAUACUAAAAGGUGUGAUAACAUAUCAAUAUUAAAUUUAGGUAAUUUUCAUCCGUACAUAAAGACCAAUUUCAACAUAUUUUUUGUGAUUAAUGGUACGGAAGCUAUUAGUGUCAAUAAAUAAGUAAUUAAAAAAAAAUCUCUUUCUUUGAAUUGGACGAUAUUUCAUUUCUUUAAUUAUUGAAGUAUAGUUUCAACUAACUAGGAGUUGAGUGAUCACUUAAUUGCGUGCUCCUUUCUAACUAAAUACCCUACAAUUUUCUCAGGUAGUUUUAGCAAACAAGGGGAAUUUCCCUAUCACAAGGGUGGUGCUGCUGAUCAAAUAGAGUGAUUCAUCCUAGCAAAAGAACAAAAGAGAUGAGGCCAAAAAAAAGAAGAAGAUCAAACAAUUUUUAUCAUGUAACCAUGCAAAUAGAUUUGUUCGUGAAAAUUAAUUGAGUCAUUUGUUUUGUGAGUAAGUCUCUUGUGAGAUGAAUACACACACAUUUUAAAAUUUGUAAUUUUAAUAGUCGAUACGAGGCGUUUUCUCGUUUAACGGCUUAAAAAUAUCCAAAUCAAUUGAAUUUUUGUUAGAAAAUUUUUUAAACUAUUUAAAACAAGAUCUAUACUCUUGAUUUUGAUUACAAGACUCCUAUCAUCAUUUUUUAAAGAAUAUUCAUUUUCAGCCGUUUAUUUUUGUGUCCACUCGAUGGAUAAGAGAACAAUAUCGAAAAUGUAUGAAAUUUAAUUUCUAAAUACUUCAAGUGGUAUAGAUAAUGUUCAACGGUGCAGAUCAUCAAUUUGAAGGUUCUAUCAUCGAAAACAAAUGGGUGGCAACAUGGCCCGUUUGCUAUUGAUAGUAUUCUAGCUCAACUCUCUCUCUCUCUCUCUCUCUCUCUCUCUCUCUCUCUCUCUCUCUCUCUAUAUAUAUAUAUAUAUAUAUAUAAAAGAUGUAACAAUUUGCGGUUCUUGACUAUUAGGCUCAAUACCUAAAAAGUGUCAAGCAUUAAUUAUAUUACACACACACAUAUAGAUAUAUAUACACACACGUAUAUCAGAUGUCACAAUUUGUGGUUCUCAAUUAUUAGGCUCCGUAUAUACCUAAAAAGUGACAAGCAUUAAUUAUAUUAUGUUUAGUUGGCACCUUCAUCGAAUCUAUGUGGGACACACACACACACACACACACACACACACACACGUAUAUAAGAGGUAACAAUUUGUGGUUCUCAAUUAUUAGGCUCCAUAUAUACCUUACCACACACACACGUAUAUAAGAGGUAACAANGUGUGUGUGUGUGUGUGUGUGUGUGUGUGUGUGUGUGUGUGUGUGUGUGACAAAAGAGCUAAAGAAUAAGAAGCAAAAUAAUGUACUGAGAGGUGAAUAAACUCACCGGAUAGAACAGGUUGUAUGCUGUUUAGGAGGAUAGUGAAAGCCAAUAGAAUAGAAAGCUUAUCGACUGCUUCUAAUACUACUUCACUUGACGUGAAGAUUAGCGCGAACUUGUCGUGGAGACUCAUGAUCAAGACGCAGAAGAAGAGGCCUAUUAUAAUUGAAGUUACCACGGAAACUAUCGUCGCAAAUCGGGCGCCCUUUCCAUUCCCCGCACCAAGUUCGUUGGCAACUCGGACUCUUUAGAUCAUAAGAAUAAGCAUUAUAUGAGAUACCAUAAGAUGUGCGAUAAUCUCUUGAUAUUUGCUUUGUAGUUGUACAAAAAAGUAAAGAGAGAUUUAGGGUUAAGUGUUCUAAUUAAGAAAUGAAUUGCAAAUCAUAAAGCAACAUAUAUAGUUGAUAGUUGAUUAAACACGAAUGUUAAACUUGGGUCCGGUUGGCUUGGGUCCGAGCUCAGUUAUUUCGGCUCAUUUUGAUUUUGAAUUCAAUGCUCGAGCUGGCCCAAUCAAUCUCAAAAGAAGCCCAUAUUACCUACCUUGGACAACGUGGUCCAUGACGACACUAAACAGGAUGGGCCUGAGCCCUUCUUUUGUGUGUGUGUGUGUGUGUGUGUAUAUUUAAAAAAAUCGACAUAUACUAAAAGCUAUGAUAUAACAUAUCAAUAUUUAAUGAGACAUGCAUCACAUACAUUAAAUUUAGGCAAUUUCCGUCCGUACAUAACGACCAAUUUUAACAUAUUUUUUGUGAUUAAUGGUACGGAAGCUGUUAGUGUCAAUAAAUAAGUAAUUAACAAAUCUCUUUCUUUGAAUUGGAUGAUAUUUCAUUUUUUUUUUCUUUUUUUUUUUGAGAGAGAUAGGUAGCACGCUACCCGCUUCAUUUAUUUCAUUUAGAAAUAAACUAAGCUGGAAAUGUGAAUCAACUAUGAUUCAAACUUGGGUCUCAGGUAUCAACCACCAAGCCCUUUAAUACUUGCUCUAGGGAUGGCUGGUUCAUUUCUUUAAUUAUUGAAGUAUAGUUUCAACUAACUCGGAGUGAGUGACCUAAUUGCAUGCUCCUCUCUAACUAAUUACCCUACAAUUUUCUCAGGUACGUAGUUUUAGCAAACAAGGGGAAUUUCCCUAUCACAAGGGUGGUGCUGCUGAUCAAAUAGAGUGAUUCAUCCUAGCAAAAGAACAAAAGAGAUUUGUUUGUGAAAAUUAAUUGAGUCAUUUGUUUUGUGAGUAAGUCUCUUGUGAGAUGAAUACACACACAAAUAUAUAUAUAUAUAGGGUCCGGCUACUAUCGUAUCGGUAACAUGGAGGCCUCCAUGCUACCAAGUUGUUUUCAAUGAUGCCGCUUCCAAAUCGACGAUCAGCUCGGUUAGACUUGAUCUACACUAUUAAAAAUAUUUGGAAACUAAAUGUCAUAAUUUUUCGACAUCAUUUGGUUAGUAAUCAAAAGGUCUCAAAAUUGACAAUUUUAAUGAUAGAUGUGAUGUAUUUGUGAAUUUAACGGUGUAAAACAAUUCAAAUCUGAUAAAAUUUUUAUGUAUAUAUAUUUUUUCUAUUUAGAGCCAGAUCAGUAUCUCUGAUCUUAAAUUCAAGUCUUUUAUCAUCAUUUUUUAUAAAAUUUUUAUUUUUGGCCGUUCAUUUUUAGAUUACUCGUUUGAUAGCCAAAUGAUGUCGAAAAAUUAUGAAAUUUAUUUUCCAAAUACUUUUAAUAGUGUAGAUCAAGUCUAACGAAGCCAAUUGUCGAUUUGGAAGCGGCAUCAUUAAAAACAACUUGGUAGCACAGAAACUUUCAUGCUACCGAUAGUAUACCAGCCUAGCGCGCUCGCUCUCUCUCUCUCUCUCUCUCUCUCUCUCUCUCUCUCUCUCUCUCUCUCUCUCUCUCUCUCUCUCUCUCUCUCGUAAUUAUAGUAUAUUAUAUAUAUACUUAUAUAUAUAAAGAUCGUUAACAAUUUGCGGUUCUUGCACUAAUAGGCUCAAUACCUAAAAAGUGUCAAGCAUUAAUUAUAUUAACACACACAUAUUAUAUAGAAUAUAUAUAUAUAUACUUACACGUAUUAACCGUAUAUCAGAUGUAACAAUCUGGGUCUAAUAUAGGCCCACUAGUUAAAAUAUCUACACGAUGCUGCGGGAUUUUUUUUUUUAACAAUUUUAGUUUUUUAUAUUUUCAAUAAAUUUAUUAAGUCUAAUCUAUUAAUUAAAAGUAAAAGUUAUAUAAAAAUAAUUUAAUGGUUAAAUUUUAUAGUUAAAUAAAAUUUAUUAAAAUGGACAAUUAUUUUUAUAAAGAUUUAUGCAAAAAGAGAUUUGUUGAUAAAUCAUAUUCAAUAUAAUUAUAAAAAAAUAAAGUUAGAAGGAAAAUAAAAUAAUGAAAGAAUUGGUUUAAUAAAAUAUUAUAUAUACACCAUCACGCACUAUAUUUUAUAAAUCCUUCUCCUCAAUUUAAAUUAUGUAUUUUUUCUAUGUAUCAUCGAUCAAAUUAGGAUUUUAUUUAUGCGAUUUAUUAUGGCUGUAUUAUUAAUAUCAUUAAUUAGAUUAAUAUGUAUAUACAAUGAUUUAUUAAUAAAAUUAAUUGAAUUAAUUUAAUUCAUAGGAGUUUAGAGAUUUAAAAAUUUUUAGUUUGUAAGUUUAAUUGAAAAAUAUAUAUUUAAAUUAAAUUUUAAAAUUUUCAAAUUUUAAAGUUAUCAAAAGAUUUAUUCUUAUAUAUAUAUAAUAUAUAUAUAUUAUAUAUAUAUAUAUAUAUUAUUAAAUAUAUAGGGAGAGAGAGUAGAAGGAGGGGUUUGGUAGCCGGCAACACUCGUGUCACUAAGGUCCCCCAAUUCCUUCUAUGUUGGAAAAAAAAAUACAUAUAUACCUUAAAAAGUGACAAGCAUUAAUUCUAUUAUGUUUAGUUGGCACCUUCAUCGAAUCUACGUGGGACACACACAUGCACACACACUCUAACACACACACACUCUAACACACACACACUCUAACACACAUAUAUGUAUAUAAUAUGUACCAAUUGGUGAUUCUUAAUUAUUAGGCUAAAUACCUAAAAAGUGACGAGCAUUAAUUAUAUUUUGUUUACUCGGCACCUUCAUUGAAUCUAUGUAGGACAAAGGAAAAUCACAAGAUAAGGCUAAGCAUCAUGGAUACCACAAAAUUGCGAAGCCCUAGUCAUGUAACCAAAUUGAACCAUCAAACUUUUAAUUUUUCUUUUUUCCCCCCUCUUUAAGUCUUUAUUAGCCGUGUGAGGACGAAUUCAAGAAAUUGCCUCCUGAUAAAAUUGCUUAAAUAGCAUAUGUCACAAAAGUGGCUUGAGGUUGCGAUAGUUUUGAUUCUACGGAAUUUAAUUUUCAUCUUUAGUGUAAUUGUACGAUCGCACACUAGACGUACUUCUUUUGUUUAUACUGUAUAAUUCCAUAUUGUAUUUUAAUUCCCCCCUUGUUUUACUUGUGUUUGAGUGUUUGUUUGCUGUGUCUGUGUCUGUAGAUGUUUUCCUCAAAAUUAAAAAAAAAAAAGAAGAAGGAAAAAAACAUCUAAGAGAUCAUCAUUUUACAUACCCUGUACCAGCGAAGAAGGCCAAAGGAAUCAUCAGCUCCCAUCCAUUUAUGCUCAUACUGUUCCCAUCGUAAGAGAAAAACAAAAAGAGGAGAACAAAUGUUAUAUGUCCAUUUCGAUCAUCUUCUUUGAUAAUCUUAAAUUGCGUAAAGACAAAUCAAAUCAAAUCACUAUCAAGAUGGUAAAAAGCAUUUUCCACGAUCGAUCUUUUGAUUGUUUGAUUGAAAAAGAAAAUUUGACAAUGUUAUCUUCUUCUCAUUGUCUUUUUCCUUAGUUCAAAAGUUGGAACUAGCUAGCUAAGAUUCUGUUUGUACCUAUCUCUCAAAAAAAAGAUUCUGUUUGUACCCAUCUUAAUUAAUUAAUUAUUUGGGUGGGUUUCCAUGUAGACAAUUAUCCCAUUGUAUUUGUUAAUCAAAUGCAUGAUGCAUAUAAUUUAUUGUAUGCUAAUAAAAGAUCUUCAUAAAUCAUCCCAGCUAGCUAGCUCAAAAUUUUUCAAACGGUUAAAAUUGUAUAGUAUUUACCUAAACUAUAUACUAUUUUAAAUUAGCUAUCUAAUUUUCCAAAUUUUUAAUUUUACUAUUCAUCCUUUCAAUUUGUUUGAUUUAAAUCGGUCGGUGAUAUAUUUACUUUAAAAUUUAAAUAUAUCGAUUAUCUUUACGUGUUUAAUUAGCAUAUUUUAUAUAAUUCUCCUAAUUAUAAAUUUAUUAAAAUAAAUAAUUAGCUUAAUUUUAAAGUUAACGUUACAUUGAUGGAUUGAAAUUAAAUAACUUAAAAGGUUGUAUUGCAAAAUCAAAAGUUUGGAUGGUUGAAUAGCUGAUUCAAAAUAUUCCAUACUUCAAAGAAAUUCCGUAUAGUUUUACCUAGAGAAUUUUGUGCUAAACUGUUCGGCAACAAUUAAUGGAAUAAAAAGAAAAUAUAUAUAUUCUAAAGCAACGUACGUACCAUACGGAAAGGGCAUCCACAGCUAUCUCGGCGUUCUUCAAGUUCCCCGUCAACAAGAUAAGUAUUCUAUAGUACCAGUUCUCCAAACUGCAUAAAAUUAAUUAAUAAUAACAAUUAUUGUAUGUAAAAUGUUUGCUACUAAAAUUCUCAAGCAAAUCACAGUAAUAUAUAUAAUUAAGCAUAGAAAUAUAGGCACUAACUAGGAUUAUAUAGUGUGUGUAUAUAUAUAUAUAUAUAUAUAUAUAUAUAUACCAUAACAUAACACCGGAAGCUGCGGAGAGCUUGAGGAACUCCCAGAGGCCGGCGAAGGCCUCAAGGGAGAAGCCCUUCCAGGUGUCGGGGCAGCCACCGCAGGCGACGUAGGCGAACUGCAGGAAGGCGGCGACCCACCAGGAGAAGUUGAGGGUGGCGGCGGUGCCGACGAGGCCGAGCUGCAUGCGCGACACGAAGAGCCACGUGACGAAGACGUGCACGACGAGCGCGACGGCGGAGAUGACGGCGUUGACGGCGUUCUUGAGCUGGCACUGCAGGAAGCGCUGCAGGGGGAAGAGGAAGGCGAAGGAGAAGUGGAGGGGGAUGAGCCACAUCGACACGUCCCCGGCCUGCGCCGCCAAUUCGGGGGGCUGCCCCAGCAGGCGGAGGAUCGGGGUGGCGAAGAAGUACAUGGGCAGGAGCACCACCGCGCACAGGAACAGCACGAUCCACGAACGCUGCAUGUACACCCCCAGCAUGUGGUAUUUCUUCGCGCCGAACGCUUGCCCGCACAGUGUCUCCAGCGCGCUCGCCAUGCCCAGCUGCAUCCAUGCAUGCAUGCAAUAUGUUUACGUCCAACGUUCUAUAUAUAUAUAUAUAUAAUAUAUAAUGUGUGUAUCAUAAAUCAUAAUCAUAAUAAUAACUAUACACCAUUUUGAACAGCUAAUCAAUCUUUCAAAAUUUUAAUUUUGAUUUUAUUAUUCGAUCUUUCAAUUUGUAUAAUUUUAGUCGGUUAACGGUAUUUUGGCUUUACAAUGUAAACUAAUUAUUUAUUUUAAUAACUGCAUGAAAAAUACCAACUAAACUCAUUCAAAUUUUGAACCCAAGAUGCCCUCGACCGACUCAAAUCAAACAAUUUAAAAAAUUUAGUAAUAAAAUUAAAAUUUAAAAAAGUUAAAUAACCAACUCAAAAUCAUCUAUAGCUUGGAUAAGCUCAGUAUGUUUUUAUCUUAAAAAUAUUAUUCUUAUAAUUUUUUUGCCGAGUUGACAUUAAUUUUAGAAUAUAAUAUUAUUAAUCACGAUAGAACGGCUCUAAUUAAUCAUUACUGUCCCGAUGACAAGGCACUUAAAUUAAUGGAAGGUCGAGGUUCCAGUAUCAAGUGAGAAAUGAGGCAUUGAAAACCAAGCUCCUAUAUAUGAUUUUAAAACUUAAAAAUAACACAUAAAAAAUAUAGAUAUGGUAACCAACCUAAUCCAAAGCAAACUCCACUGCAUGUACAAUCAUUUUCAUCCAUAAAUUUGAUUUUCCUUUGUAGUUAGAAAUUGUUAUUAUUAUUAUUAUUAUUAUUACUGGGCAAUCUGUGUCCUUCUGGUCCAGUUCAGGAUUUGCUAUUUAGCUUAACUAGCUAAGGGCCUGCGUGACGUGGUGAAAAAUAAUAUUUUAAUUAUUUUUUAUAAUAUUUAUUUUUUAUAUUCUCGUAAUCAAAGAUAUAACUGUUCCAUAUCAGAUCAUUAUUUCUUAGUAUCUUAAAUAGAUCUUCUGCUGUACUGUUAUGUAAUGUACAUAAUUUUCUUAAAAAUAAUUAUUUUAUUAAUAUUUUUAAUUUUUAAUAUUUAUAUAGUUAAAGUAUUCUAAUAAUUUUAUUUAAAAUUUAAUUAAAUUUGAUAGUUUUGAUACCUAUUUUAUAAAUAAUUUUUUGUUUAACUAAAAAACUGAAGUUGGAGGUCUUAUAUUAGAAUAAUUAGAGCCAAACAAAUAUAUAUUGCAAAACAUAUCUAAAAAAUAAAUUAAACAAUAAUUUGUAUCUAGACUGCAGUAAUAAUUUCGAAGAUGUCCUUAUUUUAUUAGACCCAAACAAAUAUAAAACUGAGGAUAUAGAAUAAAGGUAAAGAUCUAUUAAUUUUUGUGUAUGAAUUUUUUAUUAGGAAAAAAAAUUCAAAUACCACCUGUGUGGUUUCUCACUAGGGAUGCAAACGGAUCCGGGUUGGUGGAGCUCCCGCCCCGAUCCGCUCCGACGGGGGCAGUAAAUAGGAGAAAGUAAACGGAUUCGGGGCAGAAAACGGGAUAAGUUUUACGAUCCGAGACGGAUUCGGGGCAGAAAACGGGAGAAAUUUUCACCCGCCCCGAAUCCGCCUCCCAUGAUCCACCCCGAAUCCGUCCGAAUAUCAUUUCUAUUUUCAAAAAUAUUCCUAAAAAAUAAUAUAUUACAAAAAGUUCAAAAUACAAAUAAAUUAUUACUCGCAUUUCUAAUGUAUUUGAAACAUUUGAAUUUUGUCUUGAAUUUGUGAUUGAUAUUUUUGAUUUUUACAAUUAAUAUUGUUAAAUUAUAUAUAUAAUAUUUAUUAAAAUUAUUAUUUUAUAUUUUACAAAUAUUAAUAAUAUUUAUAAUUUUAUAAAAUAUUAGUUGCGGGGCGGAUUCGGGCGCCGGCGGGAGGCGGGUUUAGGGUGUCAAUGGAUAUGGAUACCCGAAAUUUUAUCCGAACCCGAACCCGAAUGUAACGUAUAUAUCCGAUGGAUAUGGAUAUGGAUUCGGAUGUGGAUAUCAAAAAUAGAAACCCGACGGAUAUGGAUUUUGAUUGUACCCGACCCGAACGCGAACCCAACCCGAACCCGACCCGAAUCCGAAUUUAUUUUGUAUUAUAUAUAAUAUAUAUAUAAAAAUUUGAUGUUAUAUUUGAAUUUGUAUUUUAAAAAUUUAGGUUUAAUAUAAUAUAUUUUGAAAUAUUGAAAAAAGAAAUAAUUGUUUCGGGUUCGGGUUCGGGUUUCGGAUUUUUGGUCAGGUUCGGAUUUGGAUAUGAUUUUUUAAAAUCCGUCGGAUUCAGGUUUGAGUUCGGGUCUCCGAUUUGGAGUCGGGUUCGGGUUUGGGUUUUUAAAAAUCCGCCCCGAAUCCGACCCGUUGACAUUUCUAGGCGGGUUACGAGGUGGGGUGGAUUAUGGAAUGUAUUUUUUAACCCGUCACGGAUUCGGGGCGGGAGGCGGGGCGGGAUUUUGCCAAUCGAGGCGGAAGGCGGGGCGGGGCUCCCGCCCCCAGAUCCACCCCGUUUGCAUCCCUAUUUCUCACUUUAGUAUCCCGUGAUAUAAAGUGUAUCAACUUAGUAUCCUGUGGCUUCACUUUUCUCUUUUUAUUAUUUCAUUCUGCUAUUAUUUUUUUGUUAAAUCAGUGAAAAAGUUAAAACUAAAAGGUACUAAAGUGAAUAUUUGAUAAACCUAAGUGGAGCAUCUGAAGUGUUUUGUAUAUAAUAAUUUAACGAAAUAUUAACGAAAGAGCUAAUGAAAAGAGAAAAUAAAAUCACAUAAUACAAACUUAAUAUACUUUAAACCAUAGGGUACUAAAGUGAGAAAGUGUAAAACCACCGGGUUGAUAUUUGAAGUUUAUCUUUUUUAUUAAUUAUAGAUUGUAUAUAAAAAUGUCUUGUACACUUGAUAUACGAUUUUUUUAUACUGUACAAAAUUUUAAUUUUGUUAUAUUAACUAUUAAAAAAAUGAAAUUGGUAUAUACGAUAAAAAAAAUUUAUAUUCAGUGUCGGUUAAAAAAAAAAAAAAAAGAAAUGUGUUGAGAAAAAAAAAAUAGUAUAGGAUGAGAGAGAGAAAACAAAAAAAGCUGGCCCGUACUGCAAAGUGAGGAGGAGGCCCCCGUACACUUGUUGGGUUCUCCUGUCACGUAUGCUAUGAUAUAAAUGGUACAAAUGCUCUGGACAAGCCUCAUUUUGGGCGCUCCUUUUUGUUGGGAUAAAAAUUUGCCGGGCACCGUACCCAAACAAAUUUAUUUGGGACCGUAAUCCUCGAAAAAAAAAAAAAAAAAAAAAUUUGCUGGGCUCUGUUUCUAAAAAGAGAGAGAGAGAGAGGAAAAGGGACGGUGGUGAUGGGCGCUGCUACACACGCGGUGCCCAUGGGCACGGUUCCCACCAAAUUUUUGUCAUUUUUCUUAUGUAUGCUUUAUCACUUUACCUCAAGCAGCUUUAGUUUGUUCGCACUUUUGUGGAUUUAGUUUUUUGAAAUAUUUAAUUUUGAAGAUAAUUUUCUCUUUCUAAAGGAAAUUAAAUUAGUAUAAGAAAAUUAGACCCAAAAAAAAAGGUUGGAUCUUCGCGCUCUCCUCAAAAAUUUGGAAAGGCCACGAGCAAUGGAGUCGUCAACGUGAGCUGGAAUUUCCAAUAAAAAUAACAGAGAAUAUUGAAACUCUUCUUCUAGACAAAUUCAACUAUCUCUUUUAAAUAUACUAUCGGGAGUAAACGAACCGUUUUACUACCGAUUUAUUUUCGAUGAUAGAGUUUUCAAAUUGACGAUCAGCUCCGUUAAAUAUGAUCUAAACCAUUUAAACUACCUAGAAAUCAAAUUUCACGCACUUUCGAUAUUAUUUUUUUAUCCAUCAAGUGAACAGACAAAUGAAUGGCUGAAAAUGAAUACUCUUUAAAAAAUAAUGAUAGGCGUCUUGUAAUCAAAAUCAACAGUAUAGAUCUUGUUUUAAAUAGUUUAAAGAAUUUUUUAAUAAAAAUUCAAUUGAUUUGAAUAUUUUUACGCCGUUAAACGAGAAAACGCUUCUUAUCGAUCAUUAAAAUUACAAAUUUUGAAACCCUUUGAUCAUUAGGCAAAUGAUGUCGAAAAGAUUUGAAAUUUGAUUUCUAAACACUUCAAGUGGUAUAGAUCAUAUUCAACGGAGGCUGAUCGUCAAUUUGGAAGUUCUAUCAUCGAAACAAAUCGGUAGGUAAACGGCUCGUUUUCUACCGAUAUAUUCUAGCUCAACCUGUAUAUAUAUAUAUAUAUAUAUAUAUAUAUAUAUAUAUAUAUAUAUAUAUAUAUAUAUAGAACUAGGCUACUAUGCUAUUAUAGCACCAAGUCAUUGGUGCUACCAAGUUUUGGGUAUUGGAUUAAGAUAUUGUGCGGUUAGGAUGAUGUGUGGCCCUCUAGGGUUGAGUAGGUGGUUGGUUGAAUAGUAUGAUCUAACGGGUGAAAAUGAUCAAAAGGGUAGAUCUAACGGGUGGAAAACUCUGGUAGUACCAAGCUGUCGUGCUAUUAAUAGGCAUAGUAGCCGGACCUUAAUAAUAUAAUAUAUAUAUAUAUAUAUAUAUAUAUAUAUGUUAAAAAAUUCAGAUUUUGAAGUCAACAAUAUAAGCAGAUUUACAUUAAGGCCUUAUAAUUCACAAUAUAAAAUCGCCUUAAAUUCUAACGUCCAAAUCCAUGUCUAUGUAAUAAUUAAUUGACUUUUCCUGUUACGGACUUACGGGUCUAUGUGACACAUCGUCCUUUAAUUUAACCACAUUCGUUAGUGUGGUUUAUUUGUGCCCACAUGUUUCAUUCACCAUUGCUAUUGUCAUUAAUACCCAUUAAUGAAACCUCUAGAGCUUGUCCCUACAAAACUUCUGAAAGUUAAAGUUUUUAUCUUGGCUCGCCCUUAAAAAGAAGGCCUCUAACAGUGGACGAUCUAAUUAAAAAAGGGUGAAUGAAAAUAAUAGUCCACGUACUGUGUGAGAUGGAAGAGAAAAUAGUAAAUCACAUAUUCACUCAAUGCGUUUUUAGUAAAUUUUUGAUAGUAACAGCCUUAAAGGGUAUCCAGCCUAUGAAUCUAGGGGAUGACGUGACGAUCGUUCAGGAUAACUGGAUAUCUACUUGUUCUAGGUUAACCGUCCUAAUAGCCUGCUGGUGAAUUAUUUGGCAGGCAAGAAAUGAUGUAAUCUUUUAAAAGAUUGAUGCAAAUCCGUUUGCAGCUGUCGAUAAGACCAAAUACUUAAAGAAAUUAUGAAAUGAAUUUAUUAUGGCAAAGUAGCUUUAACGCCACCACUCCUCUUUUGUUUUUGUUUUGUUUUGUUUUUUAUUUUUUGUUGUUUUUUUUUUUCAUCUUAGCUGAUGUUUACUAUCUCACCCAUGUAGAUUAGUUCAUACUCUUUGCACCCGUUUGGUUCGGGGUUAAGGGGUGGAAUAAUCCCUUAACCCCGAAGUUAUUCCCAAACAUCCAAUUUUGGGGGUGGGGUUACCCCAUCCUACCCCACCCCACUACUCCAACAAAACAAAACACUAUUUUACUUACUAUACUUCUUAUCCCAUCUACUUUAACCAAACAUUAUUUUAUCUAUAUCUGGACUAAACCUAAUUCUCAACCAAACACAAAAUUACUCUAACCCCACCAUUACCCUGAACUUAACUCUAUCCGUGGAAUAAUAAGUUUUUACUUAAUCCCGAACCAAACGGUGGCUUUUUAUGAAUAAAGCAGAUAGCAUUCUACAUUUUUCUUAAAAAAAAAUUUCUGAAAAAUUCAAAAAUUUUACAGAAAGGAUUUUAGAAGGUCGGAAAAAACCGCCUAAUAUAGCUAAGCCUACCUACUGUCACCAAUUUUUUUGUCAUUAAAUUAAUAAUAUAAAAGAAAAUGUAACAUAACUAGAAACAGUCCAAAGAAUAAUUUAAAAAAUUCGUAAAAUAUCUUUUACAAAGUUAAAAGAAGGAAUAUGAACAUGAUAAAUAUUUUUUGAAAAAGUCAUUUGAUCUGAAGCUUCGCAAGGGAAAUGAAUUAAUAAAUGAUAACAAUGAAGUAUCAACGUACUAAUAAUAAAGAGAAAGCAUACAGAGGUAGUGUUAAUUUGAUUGAGAAAUAAAAGAGGAAUUAAAUAGUUCACUAAUAAAGAAAAAGUAUAUAUAGAAAGGUAAUGUUUGAUUGAGAAAUAAGAGAGGAAUAAUAAGACUUCUUAUUUUCCUUAUUCACCCUGACACCGCUGGCGCUUCUUCCUAAUUUCCAUCUUAAUCGGUUAUUUUUUAUUUCCCAACAAAAUUGUUUAUUGAAGUACAAAAAAAUAUAAAUAUAAAAUAUUCUUAAUUAAUGUACCACGUAGUAAUUUUUUUACUAAUUAGCUAAGUAAUCAAUCACUUUUCUUACCAAAUUAAUAAAUAUUUGGUUAACUAGUUGGACAAUUAAUUUUUAUUCAUAAGUAAAUAACAAAUUAGACAAUUAAUUAGUUUAUGUGCUUAUUAGAUUAAGUAAUAUUCAUAUGAGUUAACUAACUAAUAUUUUUACUAAUCUAAUUAUUUAUUAAAUAAUUAUUUAAUUGAUUAAUUAAUUGCACAACAAAAAAUUAAUUUUUUUAGUUAAGUAAAUAAUUAAUGUUUUUCCCCAUUCUCUUUAAAAUGUACAUAACUAACAAAUAAAUAAAUAAAUAAAUUUUUAGUAUUUUGAUUAAAAAGUAAUUUAUUUUAAAAAAUUAUAAUUACUUUUAUUCUCAUUAUUUUAAUCUAAAAUAUGCAAAUACUAUUUUUCAUAUUCUUAUAAAUAACCCUCUAAUUAUCAAGGAAAAAUUAAUAAUACUAGGAGCCUGAUAUGUGUUAGAGAACUGUGUUUAUAUAUAUUUAUAUUUAACGAUACUAAUAGGAACAAAAUAAAUGUAUGUUGUCAUACAAUCUCUUCAAAGGACAGCAAUUUCAAUUAAUUUUUUAGGACACUAAAACAAAAACGAAAAAAAAAAAGAAGUAUAUAUUCCUUUAGGCAAUUAUAAAUGUUUGAAUCUGAGAGGCAGAGAUUAGAUGCGAAGAGAACGUGUGACACUGUUUAUUUAGACAUAAUCAUGUUUAGAUAGAAAACAAUAAUCUAUAUAUAUAUGCAGAGAGCAUCUGUUAAUAAGGAUGCAUGGUAGAGUAAUUUAUUAAUUGUGAGUGUGAACAAAAAUAUGGCUUAUCACUAACCAAUUAAGUAUUAGAAAACGAACAUGGGUAAAAGAAAACAAAAGAAAGCUACGUACGUACCAUUAGUGACCCAAAGUUAUUAAAUGGUUCUUGACGAUGUAACAUAAGUUAUAUUCGUUCAUUUUAUAGUAAUUUCUAGUUAUAUUCGUUCAUUUUAUAUAUAGUAAUUUCAAUUUAUAUCUUUAGUAUUAAAUUAUAAUAAAAAAUAAUAAUUAUUUUUUAAAAGCUUAAGAUAGUGUUAGAAAAUAAUAUUUUUAAUAUUUAUAUAUUCAAUAUUGCUCCAACGUUUAAACGGGAGAUUUUUUUAAUAGGAGAUUUUUUUAAUAGGCUCAAAAUAUAAACUUAAAUUAAAUGAUUGAUUAUUAAAUAAUAAAAGUUUGGCAAAACUCAAACUCACAAUAGGACAUUUAGUGCAUGUAUUAAUUCAAUAACUCUUUGCGUGAUAUUAUUGCUUUUUUUUUUCAUUAGUAUAUAUUAUCCAAAAAUCGAUCUAACAAAAAUNNNNNNNNNNNNNNNNNNNNNNNNNAAAUUAAUUUUUUUAGUUAAGUAAAUAAUUAAUGUUUUUCCCCAUUCUCUUUAAAAUGUACAUAACUAACAAAUAAAUAAAUAAAUAAAUUUUUAGUAUUUUGAUCUUUAUUAAAAAAAAGUAAUUUAUUUUAAAAAAUUAUAAUUACUUUUAUUCUCAUUAUUUUAAUCUAAAAUAUGCAAAUACUAUUUUUCAUAUUCUCAUAAAUAACCCUCUAAUUAUCAAGGAAAUAUUAAUAAUACUAGGAGGCUGAUAUGUGUUAGAGAACUGUGUUUAUAUAUAUUUAUAUUUAACGAUACUAAUUAAUAGGAACAAAAUAAACGUAUGUUGUCAUACAAUCUCUUCAAAGGACAGCAAUUUCAAUUAAUUUUUUAGGACACUAAAACAAAAAAAAAAAAAAAAAUAAAAGUAUAUAUUCUUUUAGGCAAUUAUAAAUGUUUGAAUCUGAGAGGCAGAGAGUAGAUGCGAAGAGAACGUGUGACACUGUUUAUUUAGACAUAAUCAUGUUUAGAUAGAAAACAAUAAUCUAUAUAUAUAUAUGCAGAGAGCAUCUGUUAAUAAGGAUGCAUGGUAGAGUAAUUAAUUGUGAGUGUGAACAAAAAUAUGGCUUAUCACUAACCAAGUAUUAGAAAACGAACAUGGGUAAAAGAAAACAAAAGAAAGCUACGUACGUACCAUUAGUGACCCAAAGUUGGAAAAUGGUUCUUGACGAUGUAACAUAAGUUAUAUUCGUUCAUUUUAAUUAUAGUAAUUUCUAGUUAUAUUCGUUCAUUUUAUAUAUAGUAAUUUCAAUUUAUAUCUUUAGUAUUAAAUUAUACUAAAAAUUAUUAUUAUUUUUUAAAAGCUUAAGAUAGUAUUAGAAAAUAAUAUUUUUAAUAUUUAUAUAUUCAAUAUUGCUCCAACGUUUAAAGGGGAGAUUUUUUUAAUAGGCUCAAAAUAUAAAUUUAAAUUAAAUGAUUGAUUAUUAAAUAAUAAAAGUCUGGCAAAACUCAAACUCACAAUAGGACAUUUAGUGCAUGUAUUAAUUCAAUAACUCUUUGGGUGAUAUUAUUGUUUUUUUUUAUCAUUAAUAUAUAUUAUCCAAAAGAUCGAUCUAACAAAAAAAAAAAAGGGUCUAGGAAUAUAUAUGUAUAUUGUCACUCUCCCUCGCGAGAAUAAUAAAUAUGAAAGUUGCGUAAAACUAACAAAUUAGGUAGGAUAUAUGUGGGAAUUUAACUCAUUAUAUACUACGGAGAUUUUAAUCCCGUAAAUAUUGAAAGUGAGAAUUGAACUCACGACCUCGUAGAACGAAAAUGAUGGUGUAUAAACAAGGAAGGAGAGGGAAGGAGAAGAAGAGGUACCAUGAGGCCGAAGUUGAAGCCGACGACGACGGUGUUGGCGAUGGAGAUGGAGGCGAGCUCGAGCUCGCCGAGGUGGCCGGCGAAGGCCUGCGUGAUCACAUUCAUGCUGUACGUGACCACCCUGCUAAAUAUGGCUGGUGCAACAAUCCUCCACAGCUGCUUUGACUCCUCCCAUACUCUCCUCCCCAAUCCCACACCCCUCUCCAACUCCAACUCUUUUCUUUCUCCAUUUAGAAGCGCAACUCUCUCUUCUCCUUUCUCCAUGUAAUAUAUCCUCUCUCCCCCUCUAUAUAUGAUCUUUUUUUCUCUUUUUCCUUUCUUUUGGGUUACUUUCUUUUUGCUCAGAGAAGAAAAGAAGAUAAGAGGAGAGAGAGAGAGAGAGAGAGAGAGAGAGAGUGUGUGUUUUAUUGUGGGUACAAUAAAAUGGGAAGUGAUGGAGGGGAAUUGUGUGUUUAUGUGGUCAUUUCUCUGUGCAAAAGAGAGGAAUUUAUUGCAUGGUUCUAGUCCACCACAUCGAUUAUGGGUUGUCUUUUAUAUAUAUAUAUAUAUAUAUAUAUAUAUAAUAGUAGAUAAUAUAUAAAUUAGUAGAUAAUAUAUAAAUAUAUAUAAUAGUAGAUAAUAGUAGUAGAUAAUAGUAAUAGUAUCUACUAUUUAGAUUAGAUCAUAUUUAAUGAAAGAAAGAAAACAUAGUUGUAACAAUCAAUAUUCGUGAUGCAAUCAUUGUUGGAUUAGGUCCAAGACAAAGGUUCUUUCUUGACCAAACUACAAGUAUGGAACUCCAUGAUAUGGAAAGACGGAAUAUGGAACCUAAANCUAGGUAAAUGAUAUCGAAAAAUCGCAAAAAUUAUUUUCUAGAAACUUUAAAUAUGCUAGAUCAAGUUUAACGGAGCCGAUCGUCAAUUCGAAAACUCCAUCAUCGAAAAUGGCUCAGGAGCACGGAGGCCUCCAUGCUCCUGAGAGCACAGCAGCCCUACUCUAUAUAUAUAUAUAUAUAUAUAUAUAUAUUGUCACUCUCCCUCGCGAGAAUAAUAAAUAUGAAAGUUGCGUAAAACUAACAAAUGAGGUAGGAUAUAUGUGGGAAUUUAACUCAUUAUAUACUACGGAGAUUUUAAUCCCGUAAAUAUUGAAAGUGAGAAUUGAACUCACGGCCUCGUAGAACGAAAAUGAUGGUGUAUAAACAAGGAAGGAGAGGGAAGGAGAAGAAGAGGUACCAUGAGGCCGAAGUUGAAGCCGACGACGACGGUGUUGGCGAUGGAGAUGGAGGCGAGCUCGAGCUCGCCGAGGUGGCCGGCGAAGGCCUGCGUGAUCACAUUCAUGCUGUACGUGACCACCCUGCUAAAUAUGGCUGGUGCAACAAUCCUCCACAGCUGCUUUGACUCCUCCCAUACUCUCCUCCCCAACCCCACCCCCCUCUCCAACUCCAACUCUUUUCUUUCUCCAUUUAGAAGCGCAACUCUCUCUUCUCCUUUCUCCAUGUAAUAUAUCCUCUCUCCCCCUCUAUAUAUGAUCUUUGUUUCUCUUUUUCCUUUCUUUUGGGUUACUUUCUUUUUGCUCAGCGAAGAAGAGAAGAUAAGAGAAGAGAGAGAGAGAGUGUGUGUGUUUUAUUGUGGGUACAAUAAAAUGGGAAGUGAUGGAGGGGAAUUGUGUGUUUAUGUGGUCAUUUCUCUGUGCAAAAGAGAGGAAUUUAUUGCAUGGUUCUAGUCCACCACAUCGAUUAUGGGUUGUCUUAUAUAUAUAUAUAUAUAUAUAUAUAUAUAUAUAUAUAUAUAUAUAUAUAUAUAUAUAUAUAUAUAUAUAUAUAUAUAUAUAUAAUAGUUAUAAUAUUAUUAAAAGUAUAAAGUAGUUGGUGUUUAUAAGUUUUUCGUCAUAAGAUUUAUCUUUUUAACAAUUUUAAUCUGUUAAACUAUAUUAUUCAACCAAUUGUCUACUCAGUUUUAGGAGAUCAGUAUCAUUCUUACUGUAUAUCUCUUAAUUUUAAGGUUAAAAAUUUACAAACACUAAUGACUUGAUAUAUAUAUAUAUAUAUAUAAUUUCAUAUUUAUAGCGAGAAAAUUAUGUGAGCUUUUAAUUUAUUUUAAUUAGUUAAUCGGUCUAACUUCUGUUAAAUUUUCUAACAUAUGAUAAAAAAAAGUAAUUUUAGCUAGGUUUUAUCUUUUUUAUGGUCUCUAUGAGCUUUGAAUUAUUUGCGUAGUAAUCCGAUUUCUUUAUUAUUUCUUAUAGUUCGGAUGAUCAUUCAUUUAAAGGAGGGAUGCAACACGAGGACUUUCCAGAAAGUCACCCAUUAUAGUACUACUCUCACCCAAGCAAGCUUAACUGCGGAGUUCUGAUGUUCGGAUGAUCAUUCAUAAUUGGCCAAAUGUUGGAUGGGGCCUAGUUUUCACUUUUUGUUUUAUAUCCAUUGGCCAAAUGUUAUGUAUCCGACAAGGUUCAUACAAUGGAUGAGGGAAAUAUGUUUUUGUGGUCAAAGAUGAAAGAUGUUAGGAAGAGAAGUGUUAUUUGUGCACUUACAAUUAGGUACAAAUUUAUCAUCUAAAAGAUAUGAAAAUAUAUAAAAUUUUAUAUAAUUUUUUAAAAUUUUUAAUUUUAAAAAGUAAAAUUAUGAUAAGACUAGUGCACAAAAAUACUCUUAAAUUAAAAAGUGUCAAAUUUAAUUUCUUUCAGAAAACUUGAUUACAUUCCUUGUCCUUAUACGGCUGCCAGGAGAUAAAGGUGAAAAGAGAUAUGAAAGAAUAAAAAAAUGAAGUUGGUGUGUUUCAGUUACGUAAUAUAGGUGUCCAGAAAUUGGUAGUGUUUGGAUUGGGGACAAAAAGAUGGAUAAUUUUUUAUUUUUUUUUUAUAUUUAAACGUAAAUUUUUUAUUCAAGAAUAAUAAUUUUUGAUUAUCUAAAAUAACUUGACAUAAUUAUUUUUACAAAUAUUUUUAUUUUUUAUAUAUAGUUACCUACUAUUUUUUUUAUUUUAUAUUAUCUAUUCAAACGUUAUUUUUUUUAUCUCCGAAAACAACCAAAUUUUCAUCCAAACGCUAUUUUUUUUAUUCACAUACUUGUAUUUAUCCCUAUAAAUUAUAAUAGCUAGUUUUUACUUAUAUCUGAACCAAACGCUACCGAGAUAGAUAGUAUAUUACCCGUUUCGUUUAUUUUCUUAGCAAAUAAAUUUAACUGAAAAUAUGAAUCAAUUAGGAUUGAACUUGAGACAUCAGAUACCAAUCACUAAAUUCUUUGCCAUUUACGCCAAGAACGAUCGGGGUAUUCAGAAGUUGUUAUUAUAAUUUUGGAAGAACUUUGUCUUUCAAUCUUGUUAAAACUUGAGUAUGAAUUCAAUUCAGAUACGACUUUUUCUUAAUUAAAUUCGAUAAAAAUAUUUAUUAAAAAAAAAUAAAUAACACCAUCGGACGUACAGGAUAAAGGAAUCUGCAGACCGUAAGUCCAAUCAACCCAAGAAAAAUAAAAAUUUAAAAAUAUAAAAAAGUUAUCUUUAAAUAGAAUAGUCAUAUUUUUAUUUUAUGGUGAGACCUUGCUGUAAACUAGAAUAGAAAUAAAUUAUAAUGUACAAAUUUGCAGAAUAAAAAAAAUAUAUAGAAUUUUACUUAUUUAUAAUUUACUCUAUUUUUUCAUGCAUUGUAAUAUAUAAUAUUUAUAAUUCUACUUCAUAAUAAAUUUUUAUAUACGAGAAAUAAAAAUAAAACUAUAGGAUUUUAAAACAAAAUGUUUCAAACUACAAGAUGAUAAAAUAAUAUUGAACCAAACCAUAUAGGAGUUACUUACAGCUUACCUUGAAUCAAACUGAAUAAAUCAAAAUAAGUUGAUUUAAUUUGGUAAUUCCAUGAGCUCUGAAUUUCUCUCCAUGUUUAUUUUUCUUUUUCUAUGUUUCAACACUGUUUUUUUGUUAUAAUUUAAUUAAGGGUCCAUUUGAUAUUACUACUUGACAAAAUAAAGUGGAAUGAAACUAUACACACAGAAAGAUUUCUUUUUAAUAUUUUAUGAUAGAAUCGUGGAAAGUAUAACUUAAUCGAUUUAUUAUGAUAAAAUAUAAUAUAAUUUUAUAUAAAAAAUAAAUAAAAAAGUAUUUUUUACUGCAACUUUCUCAACACACUUUCCAAGUUAUUCAGCAAUCCCAGUAGAGACUAACAGAAAAAGCAAACAACACAAUUCAGCUACGAAAAAGCUGAGACCUGUAAACCCGAGAUACCUCUCACCAUCUCUCUGGAGAAAUCCAGAGAUAGAGAGAGAGAGAGAGAGAGAAAAUGUCUCCAAAGAGUUUCCUACUUUGCAGCUUUUAGCAGUAACUUUUACAUUAUUUUUGUGUGGACAGGAUUACAUCUAAAAUUGAUCGCUUCAAAAUAAUUUUUAUGAAUCUUUUCAUGUUCUUUCCUUUCUGUCCAUUUAAGUUUUUUAAAAAUUCGAUCGUUCCCAUCAUAAAUGAUAAAAGAUUUAAUGAUUGAUAUCUAAGCUUUCAAAUUUGAAGCUUAACUACUUUAUAUUUUUAACUAAAUUUAUUUUUCUAAAAAAAUAAACGGAGUCGAUAGUAUGCUAGCACUCUUUCUCUCAAACAAAAUAAAAAAAGAACCAAUUAUUCAUAAUGUGAUGAGCCUCGUAAGUGGUCCAAAAUAAUCAAUUUAAUUAAUUUUGCUACGACAUUCAGAUUUUAGAUUUUGCAUGACAUUGAUCGACCAUUUGUAAUAAAAAAAAAUUUUAUGCUACUUCUAGACGUAGACGGAGCUAUAAUUCGUAAUAAUAUGAUAUAUUUUUUCUAUAACUGUAGUGUGAAUUUCACAAUGAUAUAUCUUAUAGAAUUGAGCUAGAAUAUUUUUCAAAGUGCUACUUUUUUGAAAUUUUUAUGUUGUUUAUUAUGAUGGAUUGCCAAUCAUUAACAUAAUUAAAAACGAUCUAUAAAAAGUGAGCUUUCUGUAAAUCAAAUUUUAUUAUUUUUCAGUAAUAUUUAUCUAGUAACUAAAUGGUUUUAAAUGUACCUUACGUAUGCCACUAAAAAUUAAUUAUUAACUCCGAUCGAAACCAUUUGGGCAAUCAAUAAAAAGUAUAAAAUUUAAUUUCUAAAAAGUUCGCGUAUCGUACAUCAUAGUUAGUACCGAACAUAACGCACAGAAAAAUCACGAAUUUAAUAUUUCUAAAUAAUACUCCUAAAUGUAUUGGAGCUCAACUGCUCUUUUGUAAUUUUUAUGGAGGUGGGUAGCAUGCUACCUAUCUCUCAAAAAAAAAUAAAUUACACAAGCUUUGCUUGUGCUGUGCUGACGUCAGCGCUGACGAAAACCAGCCAAGUCUAUUAUUUUUGGUAAUGGCCUCGAUCUGCAAUCCUUGUCACAUGGCUCGCCCUCUUUUGGUUGCUUGUAUAUAAUUUACCAGUUGCCCGCCCAGUCAUUAAAAGGAAAGAUCUUUUCAAGAAAACCCCAUAAAUAAGAAAGCAAUUUGAUCACGAAUGUGGUGUUGAUUCACAAAAAUUGAUGUCAUCUCCAAGUCAUAACACUGAGAAAAAAAAAACUCUACCUUUGACACCUUGAAGUUUUUGAUUGGUUUAAUUUCGACCAAUAAUAUGUUUGAAAUUUUUUGAGUAAAAUAUUUUGGCCGAUCUGUUUAGUAAGCUAGAAUUAAUAUUUCUAAGUGUUUUGUGAUUUGACCGCUUAUAUAUAUAUAUAUAUAUAUAUAUACUCUAUAUUUUGUAGAUAUUCGAUAGCAGAAAGAAUACCGAAAAUAUUUCAAGAUGUGCCUAAGGUGUUUAAGAACAACGAUAUGUUAGGUUCGAACUUGGAUGCGACUUUUAGUGGUAGGACAGUGUCGUAUUUACUUUAUCACUAUAUAUAAUCCGUUAUUAUAGAACCCAAUUACUAUAUAUAUAUAUAUAUAGGCCAUGGCUAUUAUACUAUUAUUAGUAUUGGAGCCCUCGUACUCAUAAGUUGUUUUCAAUGAUGGAGCUUCCGAAUUGACGAUCCACUCUGUUAAAUAUGAUCUAGAGUAUUUGAAACUUCUAGAAAAUAAAUUUCGUAAAUUUUUGAAAUCAUAAUAAAGUCCAUCAAGUGGGCAUAAAAUGAACGGUCAAAAUCGAACGACGUCCUAAAAAAGAAUGAUCGGAUCUUUCAAUUCAAGAUCGGAGUUAUUGAUCUUUAUCUAUAUAGUGAAUAGAAUUUUCUAUCAAAAAUUCAACUCGAAUCCUGAUUCUUUACAACCGUUAAACUAGCAAGUACUCCAUAACCGCCGUUAAAAAUUGUCAAUUUGUGACCUUUUGAUCGUAAGGUAAAUGAUGUCGAAAAAUUAUAAAAUUGAUUUCUAGAAGUUUUAAUACUGUAAAUAACGUUUAACGGUAUGGAUCGUUGAUUCAGAAGCUCUUCAUCGAAAACAACUUAUGAGUACGAGGGCGAUCGUACUCAUAAUAGUAUAAUAGCCGAACCCUAUAUAUAUAUUAUAUAUAUAUAUAUAUAUAUAUAUAUAUAUAUAUAUAUAUAUAUGUUUAAAAGAUUUUAAAUAAAACAACCUGUUUUAGAAAAGAAGAAUUUAAGUUAUCCAUCUCAAGUAGGACAAUGAGAGCUCAGCGCAAAUCGUGCUCGAGAUAGAAACCCAAACUAUUGGGGCCCCCAAAUUUAUUCCGUUCUUUUUCAAAAAAAAUUUUGCCUUUUCAACUUGCGAAUUUAAUAAUUUCACUAAUGUAAGAGUUUACGUCAUAAAUUUUAACACUUUCCAUGGGUAAAACCCGCAAUCUUUUAAGAUGGCCGUCCAGGUAAUAAUUAAGUAUUAGGUUAUAACUAAUGAUUGUUGUUCAGAAUUAUAAAAUGGACGAAGGAUUUGAAUUGCGCAACAAAUCAAAGUUUAUAUAUAUAUCUAUAGAAUUGGCAGGGUGAAAACACCUUUCCAGCUAACUAAAAUUUUAUAAGGGAACCCAAGUUAAACGAGUAAGGGUAGCUUAUUAGUGAAUGUGCUAUACAAACUUUGCAAUGUUUUGAUAUAUAUAUAUAUAUAUAGAGAGCUAGGCUGGUAUACUAUCGGUAGCACGGAGGCUUCUGUGCUACCAAGUUGUUUUCAAUGAUGCGGCUUCCAAAUCGACGAUCGGCUCCGUUAGAGUGAUUUAGAGAUUUAAAUGACUUAGAAAUAAAUUUUGCGAUUUUUCGAUAUCAUUUGCCUAGCGAUCGAAGGGGCUCAAAAUCAAUAAUUUUAACGGCCUGGUGAGCCGGUUGCAAGUUUAACGGUGUAGAAAUAUUCAAAUCACAUAAAUUUUGAUAGAAAAUUUUAUACCAUAUAAAACAAGAUCAAUAACUUUGGUCUAAAUUUUAAUGUCAUAUCAUCAUAUUUGUAAGAUUUUUAUUUUCAGCCGUUGAUUUUGAGUCACUCUUCGAUCACUAGGCAAAUGAUAUCGAAAAAUCGCAAAAUUUAUUUCUAGAUACUUCAAAUACUGCUAGAUCAAGUCUAACGGAGCCGAUCAUCGAUUCAAAAGUCCGAACAUCGAAAACACUUGGAAGCACGGAGCUGUGUCGUACUUCCAGAAAGCAUACCAGACGCACCUAGUUAUAUAUUAUAUAUAUAUAUAUAUAUAUAGUAUAUACUAUAAGUAUAUAUAUAGUUUUGUCCUCUUAGCUGGGGGUAAUUUAUUUUUUGACCUGUGUAUAUUUCGACUUAAAAUAUAUCAUAGUUAUAACAUUCCAGAUUCAAAUCAGUCUUAAAUUUACCAUAAUCUUGACACGUAAGUGGAAUUGAUAAGUUAAAAUGUAGCCUAUUCUUAGGAAUUAAAGGCUGGUAUUGUAUACUAUUUAUGAAAUAACUAUUAGUUAAUUUCAACACAAAAAAGAUCGUGUUUUCCUAAACCCAAUAGGCUGAUCAAGAGAAAAAAAAAAAAGAAGCAUAAGCUAGAAGUAAAAUUAAUUCCUACCUCACAAAGUUCUCAUUCAUUUCAAGGAAAUUAACUCCUCUGUUUAUUAUAGAUGCUGGGUAGGCCAUCAAAUUCCAGCACCAUGAAGUUGGUUGAUAGUACUAGAUGUCUACAACAUUAUGAAGUCGAUUAAUUAAUAGUACUGGCUAGAUGCCUGAAACCAGAAAUUUUUAGUGUACUAGUCAUGUGGUUGGCAUAUCGCGGUUCUUGUAGGGGUUGGUGUAGAUUUUUUUUUUUUUUUUUUGAAAAAUAGGUAGCAAGCUACCUGCUUCAUUCAUUAAGCGAAAUGAAAUAAGCGUACAUGAUGGAGACAGCUAGGGCCUCCUGAAAGAGCCGAAAAAAUACAAGAAAGAAAAUCUAAAAUAAAGAACUCUACACCUAUCGAUUAGACAAAGUAAACAAGAAAAGCGGGGUGGAUAGUGAAAAGGAAGAAGUGGGGACUGAGCAUGGAAGAAGGGACAAGCAAGGGUCAAAGGGCUCCGUUCCAGGCAUUGGUCAAAGAAGCGACACGUUCAAGAGCCCGGGUAGCAUUGGGAAGCACCUUGUGGAAGAUAGUGUUGUUGCGCUCAGUCCAGACGACCCACCAGAUCGCCGCUAAACGGGUUAAACUUUUCGAUCUCGUGGUGGCAUUGGGUAUGUUAGAUGUAUCUGUCCAUAGCCUCUGUACAUCCCUGGCAUCCGAUUCGCUUGCAUCUGAACCUUCGGCACAAAUACGGAUGUAUCUGACCAAGAUACAGUUCCGGAACAGAUGGUCGCAGGUUUCUGGAAAGAACACGCAAAAAAUACAAAACUGAUCCGCCAGGCACCCUCUGCGGAUCAUUCUGUCUGCAGUUAGCAGUCUCUUGCGCAGCAGAAUCCAAAUAAAGACUUUGAUUUUGACCGGAAUUUUUAACCUCCAAAAAUGCUCAUACAUUGGGGCUCUUUGACCUGCGUCGGUGAUGAAUUCAUAAAGGGACUUAAUGGUAAAAGUUUGGUUGGCCUAUACAAAAGUUCCGCGCAUAGAGUGUAAAUAUAAUUUGCACGCAGUUGUAACCAAUGUGUGCCUAUAACGCAUGAGAUGUUAAGAUCCAAUCAAUGUACAUACAUGAUUCAUAAAAGGAGAAAAAAGAGAAAAUACAAGUAGCCCUUAAUCCAUUUAGAGAUACUAAUGGACCUGGUUGGACCUGGUGAGCCCUUCAUCCAUAAAUUGGACCAGCCAAAAUCGUAUGAGAAAAAGCCCAGUUUAAUGUAGCCCAGCCAGGUCCAACCAGGCCUCACCAAACCAACUGUUCUUGCCAAAAAAAAAAGAAAAGAAAAGAAAGAAGUUUAUGGUCUUAAAAAACAAAUUGAAAACUUCUCUCUCCUUCACUUUUUUUUUUUUAAUUCCUUUCCUUGUAAACCAAAUAGUUAUGCCUGGAAAAUUAUUUCUAUUUCAUGCUAGCCCAAACACCACUAAGCAUAAAUUUUCUUUCAUGCUUUUCUAAGAAUCAUUUGUACCAAUUUAGCGGACGGUCCAAAAACUAACCCACUUAUAUCAAAUUUUUGGCUAGGUCGGUCAAAAUUAACCUGUAACUAUGGGAGAAUGAGCGAGAGUAGAAUCUGAUCCGCUUCUAAUUUUGCCCAGACCUAUAUAUAAGUGGAAUACGCUUUUAGUUUCUCAGCUUUCUUAUGUUUGUGUUGUUAUAUCAAAAAGAACAAGCGAAAGUAGAAUCUGGUCUGCUUCUAGUUUUGUUCAGACCUAUAUAUAAGCAGAAUACAUUUUUAGUUUAUCGGCUUUCUUAUGUUUGAGUUGUUAUAUCAAAACAUUUAAUUCUCCUUGCUGCAAAAAGGUCAUUUAUUUUCUAUUGGCCCUAACCCAAGUCAUGGCCAUCAUUUUUGACUUUACGAUGGUUAUCAGUUCCUUGAUUACACUGCAUUAAGGCCAUCAUUUUCAACUUUGCGAUAGUUAUUAGAUCCUUGAUUGCACUGUACUUUGCUUAGUGGUAUACAUACAUUAAUAAUAUAGAAGAUGAGGUUGAUUAUUCCAUAUAACAACAUUUUCUGCAAGGAAGAUCCCAUAUGUCAUAGUAUGUAUUAUAAUAUUCUAUCUGAGCAAUCAUUUACAUUUCGUUGUCCCGAGUCAACUUCAAGAAUGAAAUGAGGAAUAGGAAUAGUAGAACUACUUUGGUUAAAGAAAAUGAUCGAUAACAAUGAAACAUCAAACAUUGAUCAACGAGUCAAAAAAAAUAUAUAUAUUGUAGUUCAUUAAAGAUGGGGGUUGUGCGUAUGUGUCAAUACUUUUUUUUUUAGAGAGAUAAGUAGCAUGUUAUUGUUUAUUUCAUUUAGAAAUAAACUUAGCUGGAAAUGUGAAUUAAUUAGGAUUCGAAUUUGGAACCUCUGGUACCAACCACCAAGUCCUUCGCUACUUGCGCAAGGGACGGUCGGUCGUACGCCCAACAAAUUGUAUCCAAGCUCUUCUUCAAGAUUCGUGCGGAACUAAUCCGCCGUCUUAAUUAAUUAGUUUUUAUGUCAUGCUUAUUUGGAACAGUAGACUAACACCCAACUAAUUAGUAGAUUUAUUUACAGCUAUGGAGCAUUGGAGUUUCUUUAUUUCUGUGCAUGUGGGCAUCGUCGUGUAGCUAGUAUUUGUAUCUCUGGAAUAUACAUAUAUCCUCAGAAGAUAAGGCACAUGUAUUGAAAAGAGCACACUUUUCAAGGACAAAAACUCACCACUGCAGCUGCAUGUAUAAUCACAAGUCGCGAAUAAUUGGUGGGUCACUCAUGGCUCAAUUUUGGCCGGUAGAGUAUGUGAUCUUACGUACGCCAAGGAGUACUACUAAUCAACAGAUGCUCUACAUGAAUUGGGUUCGACUGGGUUGGAUGACAACCAUUUCUUAGGGCAGGAUCAAUUCAAAAAUACACGUACAAUCAAUCGAUUAGACACUGAACGAAUCAGGAUACAGCUUUAAAAUGGGUCCUAAAGAUUAAGACACUACAAUAAAUUAUAAACGGAUAGUUGAUAAUAAAAUAGUUUGAACAUAAAAGAAAAUAACUUGCAUGGUUAUAUGUAUCCAAAUAGUUAUUAUUAAUUAAUAUUAUACUACCUUCUGACCAAGCGGCAGUAGCAAGGAUAAUGCUAAUAAUAAUAAUAAUAAUAAUAAUACCUAGUAUGAGCGGGCUAAAUUCAGGGGUCCCACACUUUUGUCAACAUCGUAACUUGGAAUACUCAACUUCGCGACUUGGAAAAAUAAUAAUGCAUAUAUAUUUGCUUUUGUAGAGAGACCAAACGGUGUUCAGCUCAUAAAAAAUAUACUAGUAAAUUAUUUUAACAAGGCCUUUUUGCAUAAAAAAUCUACUUAUUUUGGGCUUUUGCAAAACCGGGUCACCUUUUUCGUUUUUGCAGAUUCGGUCCGCUUUUUAGCAAACUGACCAAAAUACCCUUAUUACUUUUUCUCUUUCCUCUUUCUCUCUCCUCUUCGUUUCUGUCGUUCUUUUUUUUUUCUCGCCGAAAAAAAAAAGGCGGACCGUCGCCUUCUUCUUCACCGUCGUCUCCCUCCUCACNAUGACCCGAUUUUGCAAAAGCCCAAAAUAAGUGGAUUUUUUAUGCAAAUUGGCCUUUUAACAAAGAUUUCAUACUUAAUUAUUAUGACAAUUAAUUAGGAUAGAAUCUUGACUUAGUACUUAGAUAAUCCAAGCAUGUGAAUAAUCAGCCAAUUAUAUUAUUUUCUAAAAAAAAUAUAAUAAAAAUAUUUUUUAAUAAUUAUAAUAAGACGAAUGAAUUGAAAAAAAAAACUAAUUAAUUAAAAAUACUAUAUCAAUAAUAUAAUUGGUACAUACUAGAUUUUUUUUUUUUUUUUCUGUACAUGUUGCUGCUGCUGCUCGUGUCAUAGGAUAUGUUUUUGUAAAAUUAAGCAGUUAUAAAAUUGCGUGCAUUCAUGAUACAGUUUGAUCAGUCACAUGUCGAUGACGUGAUAAUUGCAUUUAUUCUGCAUGAUAAAUACACAUAGAACGCGCCUUACGGCAGUUUUAGUCCCUCACACGGUCACACUGAACCCGUCAUUCUCACAACAUAUACUCCAAUGGCAAUCCCAACUGAUGAAGUGAAGGACGUCGCCAUCGCCGCCGCCGCCAUGCACUCCGCUCCUCCUCCUCCUCCUCCUCUGCAGUCGUCGUCGUCGUUGUCAUCGCUCCCUCGCCGCAUGAUCAAACCCUCCCCACUAGUCCUACUCAACGGCGCCCUCAUGCUCCUCGGCGGCGGCGGGCCUCUCCUCCUCCGCCUCUACUUCGUCCACGGCGGCCACCGCCUCUGGCUCCCCAGCCUCCUCCAGCUCUGCGGCUGGCCCCUCCUCCUCCUCCCCCUCUCCUUCUCCUACCUCCGCCGUCGCACCGCCGCCAGCAAUUCCCCCCACCUCCACCGCCGCCGCCACAUCGCCCCGCCCCUCGCGGCCGCCUUCGUGGUGCUCGGCCUGCUCAACGGCCUCGACUGCUACCUCUACGCCUUCGCCUCCUCCGACCUCCCCCUCUCCACCUCGUCCCUCCUCAUCUCCACCCAGCUCGCCUUCACCGCCUUCUUCGCCUUCGCCAUCGUGCGCCAGCGCUUCACCGCCUACUCCGCCAACGCCGUCGUCCUCCUCACGCUCGGCCCGGCCGUGCUGAGCCUCGGCUCGCGGUCGGACCGGCCCGUGGGGGAGUCGGCGGCGCAGUACUCCACGGGCUUCAUCCUCACCGUGGCCGCGGCGGCGCUCUUCGGGCUCUUGUUGCCCCUCAUGGAGGGCGCCAUGAGGCGGUGGAGCAAAGAGGAGAUCACCUACACGCUUUUGAUGGAGUUGCAACUCGUGCUCGGCGUCGCCGGCACCGCAUUCUGCCUCGUCGGCAUGGUUGUCAGCAACGACUUCAAGGUAAUUAAUUGAACACACGUUAUUAUUAAUUUGUAGUGCUUAAUAAUUUAAUUUUUCAUUUUAACUUGUACGUAUAAUUAACAUGUAGACAAUUGAUAGGCAUAGGAUCAGCGAGAUUAAUGGUAGUAAUUAAUUUGAACUGAUCUUACCUAUAGAUUUUAAUAUGCACGACCUAAUUCGCCACUAAUCAUAGACUAUCAACAUCUAAUCCUAAACUAUUUCUCACAAAGUUGAUUUUCUCGUAACGUGGUAUCCGAGCUUAUCUAAGACUUAAUUUGCUAUUGAGAUCUAUCUAAUACUAUUAGAUAAAAUAAAAUUAGACUAAAAAAUAUAUAAAGAUAUACUUCUGCGCUCUGGUGGGACUAUAGAAAAUAUAUUGUAACCGAUUAAUCGCAAUAUGCAAAACGUAAUGUUACGUACGAAAAUAAAUAUUAUAUUUUUCCAUCGUACAUAAUUUCUCAUCGUAUGUAACGUAAUCUCUUCAUAAUCCGAUUCAAAAGAAGAAAAAAUUCAAAGUAAAAAAAAAAAUUUCAAAGGGAAUAGCAUUAGUUACCUCUUUCUCAAAAAAGAAAAAAUAUUAUUUCGUUGUUCUUUAUUUUUUCGUCGCACUAUUAUCUUUCUACAUAGCCUAUUAAUAUUUAUUGGAUCUAGUAUUUCCUUUUUCGAUCAAAACAAUUUGUUUAGUUCCAAUCCACUCGCAGGAGCACCAAUGUUUCCAUCACCGAGAUUGUUACAUGCUCACCCAGAUUUUUUUUUUUUUUUUUUUUGAGAAAUAGAUAACACACUACCCGUUUUGUUUAUUUCAUUUAGAAAUAAACUUAGCCAAAAAUGUAAAUCAACUAGAAUUCAAACUUGGGUCUCGAAUACCAACCAUCAAGUCUCAGGCACCAACCACCAAGUCCUUUUCCACUUGCACCCGGUCACCCAGAUAUUUAUUAACAUUCCAAUGCACUACAGCGAGUGAUGAGAGAGCGUGGAAAGUUGGGAGAACAUUUGCAUUAUUUUCGCAUUGAAUACUACUCUAGACUACAUUGCGACGGUUACUAGUAGAUGUCAAUUCCUUGAGAAAAGAAAAACUUGGCCGGCCAUGAUUGAUACUCGUUGAUCAUUUACCAAAACUUAACCAUCAAUACAUAAUUAUGAAAGAAAUAUUAUAUUUGCGGAUAAUGCAUUUGAUAGUUGAUAGAUUGUUUAUCAUGAUAAGGGGAUUUUUUUUUUUUGACAGAGAUAGAUAGCACGAUACCUACUUUAUUUAUUUCAUUUAAAAAUAACUUAAUUAGAAAUGUGAAUUAAUAAGGAUUCGAAUUUGAAAUCUCAAAUAUCAAUCAUCAAAUUUUUUGCCACUUACUCUAGAGACAGUCGGUCAUGAUAAGGGGAUCAAACACAAUCCACGCCAUGGUCUUAUACACCUUUCAUCUCGGCCAAUCCUCCUAACCUGUCACACAUAUAUAUGUACUACCGUUGUUGUUGGUACGUUGGGUGCAAUUAGUUGUAGAUUAAUCAAACUAGCUCACAUAUAUAGCACUAUCAUUUACUAACUAAAGUACUUUUUUUUUUUUACUUGAAGAGUAAAAUAAUGUGUUGCGGGACAAAAAUUAUAUAGGAUGCCUUAUCAUGAAGAUAGAAAUUAUAAGUGGUUCAUAUCUAUUGAUUAGACUGUCUCUUCUAGAGAUGUCAACAUGUCGGAUUCGGGGUGGAUUUUUAAAAAUUCAAACCCGAACCCGACUCCAAACCCAAGACCCGAAUCCGAAUUCAAACCCGAACCCGACGGAUUUUAAAAAUUUAUAUCCAAAUCCGAACCCGACCAAAAAUCCGAAACCCGAACUCAAAAAUUUGAAUCNUUAAAUCUAAAUUUUUAAAAUACAAAUUCAAAUAUAACAUCAUAUAUAUAUAUAUAUAUAUAUAUAUAUAUAUAUAUAAUACAAAAUAAAUUCGGGUUCCGGUAGGAUUCGGGUUCGGGUCGGGUACAGUCAAAACCUAUAUCCGAAUUCAUAUCCAAAUUCAUAUCCAUUUAGCAUCGAAUAUAUCCAUUUUAUUCGGAUUCAGAUUUGAAUAAAAUUUCGAAUAUCCAUACCAUUGACAUCCCUAGUCUCUUUUGUAAGAUGCUCGUGGCCCUCUAGUUGGGCCGGUGAAAACAAAGGCCAGUAUAGUGAUAGGCUUUGGCCCAGAUACAGAUAUUUUUUAUUGAGAGUUAAUUGGGCUCGCCCAAUCCAGGCCCAGUGUGAGAUGUGGUCGACGUAUAUCGCGGAGAGAUUGUUGCCUGGAGUUGGUUCACCACCUCAGCAGUGGAGUACGAAAAUCUCUGUGCUCUCGAAAGUAUACAAAGCGUACUCUCUCUAUCAGUGAGAAUAUAUUUGGAAGGAAUGAAGGUACGAAGAAUGAACUGCCUAAGUAAUUCAUGGCCAAUUUGGUGGGUCAGUUCCACGCAAUUUUUUUUUUUUUUUUUUUUUUUGAGAGAUAGAUAGCACGCUACCCGCUUCGUUUAUUUCAUUUAGAAAUAAACUUAGUUGAAAAUGUGAAUCAACUAGAAUUCGAACUUGGAUCUCGAAUACCAACCACCAAGUCCUUUGCCACUUGCUCUAAGAACGGCCGGUGAAUUACACGCAAAAUUGGUGGGUCAAUUCCACGCAAAAUUGAUCUCGUCACUAGGAAACAUUCUCAAUUUGAGUUUUCCCCCUCUAUGUUCUAGCUCUGCAUUUGCAAUAACAACAAUCCUCAACAAACUUAAAUUCAUAUCUAAACAAAGUUUAAAUUCGUUGUUCAAAUUUGCACAGGCGAUUCCUAAAGAAGCAAGAGAAUUUGGCCUUGGAGAAACCAAGUACUACAUGGUGCUCAUCUGGGAUGCCUUAUUCUGGCAAGCAGUUAACAUGGGCAUGGUAGGCGUCAUCUGCUGCGCAUCGUCGCUGCUCGCGGGGAUCAUGAUCGCGAUCCUUCUCCCGCUGUCGGAAAUCCUUGCAGUCAUGUUCCUCGGCGAGAAGUUCGACGGUAGCAAGGGCGUCGCCCUCGCCCUCUCCCUCUGGGGAUUUAUUUCUUACUUGUACGGCGAGAAGCGGCAGGGCGAAAAGAAAAGGCAAGCUGCGGAGGUGGAGUUGCCGGCGCCGUGAAGGCAUUACUUGCUGUUCGGAUAAAGGAAGCCAUCAAUAUCCUUUUUCCACCUGAAUUUAAGUUCUGUUUCGACAAAUUUGAAACUAUUCAAUUUCUAAGGCAUUCGAUUUACUGCAUGCGAAGAAUCUAUGAGAAACGCAUGAAUUCAAAUAUGUACAGUUGGAAGCUUAAUUUGCUGCAACACUUCUCCCCCUUCCAACAUGUACAAUUUGUUCUAAAAUCAAAUUUGGUUGGAAUCAAAUUGGAUUUAACGGGAUUCUACAUCAUUAAAUAAUCUGAAAAAAUUAUGGUAUGAAAAAUUAUCCAUUGAUAAGGUCUGAGCUAGUAAAUUCUCGCGGAGUAUUUUUAUUGUUCAUAUAAUAUUGUUCGUAUGUUCGAACUAAAUAAUAACAAAUAUUUUUAACUUAGUUCAUUUGCGUACUGUAAUACAUUACAAAAGUUUUGUUAAAAUCCAAAGAAAAAAAAAAAUAGCUUGAGAAUUUUAAUUAAUUAAUUCAUACACAACAAGGUACGUGAUUUUAGUGUCACGGCAAAAUCAGAUGUUGGAAAUCGUGUCUGAGGCCCGAAGUAUCCGUGGCCUUUAAAGGAAGUCAACGCCACGUCAUAUCCGACGUUUCCCGUUACGGGGACGAAGCUCAGUUCCCAAAAAAAAAGAAAAAAAGAAAAACUACGCUGCUUCUCGAAGAAGCUUACUGGAACCCCUUAUGCACCGCACCUGAUUUUUGUUAUUAAUUAAUUUUUAAAUUAAAUAUUAAUCCAAUAAUUAUGGUCUUAAUCACCGAAAGGGACGACAUAUAAAAUAUUGUAAUGUUCAAAACCUAAUGCCAAAAUAUCAGGUAGACUUAAAAUAUAUAGUAGAAAAAUGAUUUAUUUGAUUUGUGAAAGAUAGGUGUCUAGAGUUUUUGAUUUUUACAUAUAGAUUUUUAAAUAUUAUAGAACAUACUUAAGAAAUUAUGAUUUCAGAGUACAAACAGAAUAUUUUGAAAGUUAAAGGGAUCAUUUAUGUUAGUAUUAUUUAUGAUAAUAGGAUAUCCAAAUCGCUAAUCAACAUUAUCAAAUUUAAUCUAAAAUAUUUGAAUAAUCUAAAUUACAAAUUUCACAAAAAUUUAACAUUAUUCUAAUAUUCAUGUGUCAUAAAAUUGACUUAUUUUUAAUGGCUAAUUUAUGAUAAAAUUUGAGACAAUUUAAUCACUUAAAAAAUAAUGUUAAAAAUUAAUAAUAUUUGAGCUCUAGAAAUUUAAAUAGUCUAGAAUUAAUUUGUUAAAAGACCCCAAUCAUCAAUUCGAAUAUCCUACCAUGGAAAAUAAUACGAAAAUAAAUAUUUUCAUUUAAUUACUUGUAGAAAUAUUCUACCCCUACGAAUGAGUUUGAGAGCUCUAUCAUGGAGUUUUUGAGACCGUGGUGUAUGAGAUGUUUUUGUACACCCGGUUCAUGCAAACAUUUCGUACAAUCCGAGCUUAGAUGUUGUUUGACUUUUUUCUCCAAUAGAAACGAAACGUUAUAAUUAAUCUGUUGACUUGCACAUUAAUUAUUUCUCUUUCAAUCUUCAACGUAAGUGCAUGGAUUCUUUUUGCGAACUUUGCCGUGCGAGUUUAAAAUUUUUUGAAGUGAAUUUUAAUCUCUUACUAUUGGUUAUUAGACUUUUGCUGUUUCUUUACUUGAUUCCGAAAUAAAAGAAUUAAUUAAUUUUCUCUUACAAAAUGGGUGUCAAAUUAUUUUUUAUCAGUCAAGAACUGUACGUAAAAUAUUAUAUGGAUCACGUUCUAAUUUAUUUACUAUUUCUGCUCGUUGUUCAAUUGGAUUUAAUAAAUCUUAAUAUGUUAUAAUUAAGAACCAUUUCUUUAAGCUGAGGAGCCGUUGAUAGGAUAUAUAUAUAUAUAUAUAUAUAUAUAUAUAUAUGUAAUUAGUGUUGAAGAAUUUGAAGCGCGUAAAGCUCAAAUGCUUUACAUGAUAAGUACAUGAGCUUAAAAAAAUUGCUAAUUCCACUAUUUUUUUAAUUUACUUAAUAGGUUUUGGAAUUAAGGAUAUAUUAAUUUGAUUCUUCAUAUGUUAGUGCUUAUAGGCUUUCAUUGUACGUGCUACGUUGCAAUCGCAGUUCAAUUACUUGUUGAUAAUAGUCGGUUUGAAAAGGUAAGAUAAUUUCAAUUGUCAAAUAUAAAAACAUGAAAAUAUUAUUUUCUCGUAGCUUAUAUUUUUUAGAGUAAUUCAUGCAUCGUUUCGCAAGUAUAAAUCUAGCUUCCAAUAGAUUUUGAAAUAUUGGUCCAAAAAAACUAAGACAAUAACUUAUCGACCAAUAAAUGUAAACUGCGUGCGCUCCAUCUCCAUGUGCACAAACUGGUUAAUUACACUUGUUCAAGUUAUUUAAAAUCAAUUACUUAAUUUUCCAGCUAAGUCAAAUUAAUUGAAAUACAGAUAAGAAAAUUCUUGUCGUAUUUUGGACAUUGCGUACAUUGCAUGUGCCUUAUAAGUGAUUACGCUACUUUAUAUAUGAUAACAUGAUAAUGAUGCGUGUGAUCUUUUGAUUCGAAAUGUAGCGAAAAGGAGCAUAUUGAUUCCCUUCCUACUCAAGAUUCAAAUUUCACGUGCACGUACCAGCUCCAAGCGAGUUUUAGUCAUCGCAUGCACGUGAGAUCCUUCUCCUGUAAUUUUCUUUUUUAAGAAAAACUUUAAAUAUUGUUUUAGUUUAAUGAAUUUAUAUUUUACUCUCUAACCACUUUAUUUGCUUCGUCUUUUUGUAAUAAUUUAGAAAUUCUUUCGUCAACCUUAGAUUAGAAAUGAUACGCAAUAUAUAAAGCGAUAAUAAAGCGUAAUAAGUAAAACCUACAAAAUAUAUAAUUUAAAAAAUUCUUUCGUCAAUGUUUUAUUACUCUAGCUGUGAUUCUACCGACAAUAAAGCGUAAUAAGUAAUUAAAACCUACAAAAUAUUAUAAUACAAAUAAGUUAACAAAAAUCGAUAAUAUAGGCCGUAAAAAAUUUGAUAGUUGAUAUCCGAAGUUUCAAAUUCUGAAAUUUAAUUAUUUUAUAUAUAUUCAGCAUUAAGUUUAUGUUUUUAAACGGCAUAAGAUUACUUCCGAAGAAAAAAAAAAAAGAAAGGGAAAGGAAGAGAAAAAGUUGGAAUGGAUCCUUUGGGAUCAACUCCAUCUGUUUCCAUUAAUAUUCCAAUCUCUAAUUAAAUGGUGCCCACUGAUCCAAUCUGGGGGAAGGCACAUCCACAACAACAACAACAACAACAACAACAACAACUACGUACUACUACUACUCCCAUGGGCAUUUCAACUGCAACUAAUCCCCACCAUUUUACCACAAAACUCCCCCAGUACGCCAAAAGGAGAAGCUUCUCCUCCACCUCUUCCUCUUCUAGCCACUCAGCCCCUAAGCGCUUCCUCCUUGCCCUUGUCACCUUCCUCGCCCUCCUCCAUAUCCAAACCCUAACCCACACCCUCAACAACCACCUCAAGCUCCCCCUCUCCUCUUCAUGGCCCCUCGCCUUGUCUCUCCUCCCCGCGGCCGCGCCGUCCGACAUCGCCUUCCUCCCGUUGAAGGACCUCCGCUUCUCCAACACCCCCAUGGACGGUGAGCUUUUUCUUCUGAACAACAGUUAUUUCACAUGCAUAUAUGGUAUUGCUAUGUCUUAUUUACUGUUAGAGAAUAACGAUUGUUUCGCAGGUAACACAUGGUUCAUGAGCUCCCUUAACGACACUUAUGAGCCCGGCGAAACCGAACACCUCCGCUUCCCUUCCGACGCCUCCGGAGGCCGCCUGUUGUGCCUUGCAGGCAGCAGCGCGUCGGACGGCACGCGGAACGCGUACGCACUGGCGCCGCCGCAUGGUCUGCGUGGCGUGCGGUUGCUUCGCGGGCUCACGUUCGUAUCAGACACAUACUACGACUACGAGAACCUAUGGCACGGGCUGUCGGCGGUGGUGCCGUUCGCGGCAUGGCACGCGCGCAACGGGUGCGUGCGGCCCGCACGGUGGGUGCUGUACCACCAGGGGGAGCUGCGGACGGGGAUGGGCCCGUGGGUGCGGAAGGUGGCAGAGACAGUGUUCGGGACGGCGAUGCAGAUGGAAACGUUCGAGGGGGGUCAGCCCAGGUGCUUCGAGGAGGCAGUGGUGUUCCGGCACAACGAGGGGUCGAUGACGAAGGAGAAGAAGAAGAGGGUGUACGACAUGUUGCGGUGCAAAGCGAGGGCGUAUUGUAAUGUGAGUAGAGAGGCAGAGAAGGAAUCGAACGAGUUAGAGAAGGUCGUAAUAAGAGUGACGUUGCUGUUGAGGGUGGGGGCGAGGUCGUUUAAGGAUGAUAAGGGGGUGAUAAGCGUGUUCGAGAGGGAGUGUAAGAAGGUGGAGGGGUGUCGCCUCACGGUGGCGAGACCCAACAAUUUGACCUUCUGUGAUCAGGUAAUUGGUGGCUCAUAUAUCCGCCCUUUCCUUUCCUCCUUUUGCUUUGUUGAAUUCGAUUAUUUACUGAAUCCGAUCGAAUUCAAUCAAUGUAUAUAAUCUGCACUCAAUAACAAUGGCUUAUGGAGAAAAAGAAAAAAAAAAAAAGAAAAAAAAACACAUGAUAACAUCAAAAAAUUAAUAAUCCACAAAAAUAAUUGACCGCACCGGUGGUCCAUUGGCAGGUUAAACUAAUGAGCGAAACGGACAUCCUGGCGUCGCCGCACGGGGCGCAGCUCACGAACAUGUUCUUCAUGGACAGGAACAGCAGCGUCAUGGAGUUCUUCCCUACAGGGUGGCUCAAGCUCGCAGGCCCCGGCCAAAAUGUCUUCCAGUGGCUCGCCAGCUACUCCGGGAUGCAGCACCGAGGGGCCUGGCACGACCCCAACGGCGACCGCUGCCCCUACGCUAACGCCACUGCCCGCUGCAUGAGCUUCCACAAGAACCGCCGCAUCGGGCACAACACGGCGUUCCUCGCCAAUUGGACGUCGACGGUGCUCCGCGAGGAGCACCGUCGCAUGGCGGCCGUCGACCAGGCCAAGCUCAAAGCGAGCCAAGGGCCUUGUCAAUGUGACUAGCUAGCUGAGUUAGCCGACACGGCCGACCUGGGGGCUGGGGAACUAGAGAGCGGAAUUGUAAGAAUUGAAACGUAUAGAGAGAUGUGUCAACAAUAAAGACCUGAACAUAGCUCAGGUCGUACAACGGCCAAAGUCACAAAAGGCAACACAAAAGCGUGUAUAUAACAUGCUGCUUUUAUAGUAAGAGAACCAUUUUAAAAAUUUCUUUUACAAGUUCGAGACACAAAGUUCCCCAAAACAGAAUGCAAUAUACUGCGAAAGUUUCCACAUUCUCAAAUUGAAUUGUAUUCAAUGUGUGCGCCUCACUCAAGGAAUUCGGCCAAACAUCGCUUUUCCAUUUCUUUAGUAUAUUAUCUCAAACUAGUGUGCAGGAAAUCACCUUAUAUGUCUUCUGGUCAAAAUAAACAAAAAGAAAAAAAUAUAACUUUUAUCGCCUCGUUAUCAUUAUUUUCUAUUAUAAAUACUUUUCAGAGUCUAAUAUAUAAUGGCUGCUAGACAUAAAUGUGUUGUCUCUAAUGUUAACUCAUAUAUUUAAACUUAAAAACAGUACCAAGGAGUCGCUAAAUGCUGCUAACAUGUCUACGAACACGAGGCGAAGCUUGGAUUAUUGAGGUUGUCCAUGUACGAUUGAAAUCAGUUUCCGCUAUUCUUGUGAAAACCAAGUUCUAGUAAUUCGCACAAGCCUAGAGAGAUUAACAAAAACUGUUCAUACCCCAAAACUGAAUUAAUUGCGGAGCUAAAGUUGUACAGCCCAGCAGAAAAAAAUAAUAAUAAAAAACUUCUAAGUAUAAGCACAUUUGGAAGCAAUAUAAGACUUUUAAUGAAGCAGUAUGAGAUUUGAGCAACUUCCACAUAUUAUAUGUUGGAUUAUAUAAUUCCUACUCUUCAGGUUACUACUGUUCCAAGUGAGAUAGGGAUUUAAGGACAUUACUCCUACCAUUUUACCUGCCUACCCCACGUGGGACAAAAUUCACAAAAUUUCAGAGUUAUUUAUGAACCCUAUCUUAGCAUUAGCAAUGCACUUGUAAAAGAGGAAUACUUCUUAGUUACUCAAGCCGCACUGGUGAAACUUAGUGCCGACCGCUUUGAACUUUUUGUCUCUUCAUGUGCUAUGAAAUUUGGACCAGAGAUAGACCGCAAAGAAGCAGAGCAGAGCAAAGAGGGCAACAUGGACUACUACAUGGUUCGAGCCCUGUUGUAUGAUUCUCCGGUUCAUUUUCCUUAUGUUGUUCUUCAACCCCGCCUGGGCUUUUAUGAGAGUCAUUUGCUGUACAGUAACCAAAAUUGCAUCACACAAAGCUUGAGGCAUGGAUGUAAAGAAAUAAUUAACGGACCGCCCCAUCUACAAGUCGUUUAAUUAGUAGGACUUGACUUAGGUGCGCAUGGGCUCAUGUGAGUACAGACUACAGAAUGAUACCAUACAAAGGAUUUUGACUGAUGAAAUCUGUUACCACAGGCCAGUUGAACAUGGGUCAAAAGAGAAUCAUACAGUAGUAAGAAAUAAUUAGAUUUACAAAUGUCUACAACUGACAUAAGUCGGAGGACUAUCAAGCUAUAUGGAAACAGAAAUCGAAAUGGAAGGGAAACGGAAAGAGCAAAGAGUAGUGACUGCAAUGAACAUAGGCCAUGUGAUAUAGGCAUAGCGCAUUAUCAAAUUGUCGCUAUAUGGUUGCAUUUGUACUUCUUAAGUGACCUGUUUCUUAAGGAUCUUUGGUUUACCCCCAUUGUAAUUUGGGUUUAAAUCAGGUUUCGAUCCACACUAAAACGUUUGAUCAUGAUUUCAUGAUCGACUACAGUUUCGAAUCCAUCUCUACAUGAAAACCUGUAUCUAUUUGAAAACUCAAUCUAAAACCUUUUAAAAUUGUAACUUCAGGUAGAAAACCUAAGAAGCCAUUAGAAAUUUAGGUAUGUAUGCAGUACGCGUGCUAAUUUAACGAAAUUUGUGAAAGGUGCAUAUUAAAAACACAAAUAGUGGCCUCAGGGCAUCUAAUUAAGUGAUACAAAUGAUACCACAGGGCCUCAAUGACCAAGAGCCCACAAGGCCAAGCUUGUUUUGAGAGAUCUAUUACCAACGAGGCCUUUGAGUGCAACGGGUUCGGGCUGGACAGGACCAUGACACCGAAUGCCAUAAUUCACCUAUGGGCCUAUUAUCAAAUGGGUGUCUAAAAUUAUGAAGCUACUGAAGGGCAAAAGCGUCAUUUAGAUAAAACAAUCAUCAACUUCUUUUUUUAUGUGCAGCUUGCUGAUGGUAGUCAAAUCGCAAAUGGAAGGGAUAAACUUUCAAAAUAUAGGAGGACAUAUAUGAUCAAUAAACAAGUAUGCAAAAUUACUAUUUUGCAAGUACACAUGUGGCUGGCACGUGCGUGAGCGCGCGUGCACAAACACACGCACAGAUACAGAUAAUGGUGCAAAUUAUGGAACUAACCAAUUUAGAUAUGAAGUCCUUUUGAAACUGGGCUUCUGUUUCUAUCUCCUGAGCUACCUGCAAAAUGUCAUAUUGAAUUCUUGUAAAAUAUGUGCAUAAAAAAUUCUAACUUGAUGAGAAUUCUUAACAACUGAAAGUAGACAAUUUAGAUAGUGCAUCAAAUAAACAUAGUAGAUUUAGAAACUAAUAAAAAAGCAUACAAACAUACUACAAAGUGACCAAAAAAAUGGUUGAGAUUAACUUUUCUGUAGAGCACAUAUCAUGUAGCAUUAAGACAACAUUUUCCUCACACUUGCAUGAUUGAUGAGAAGUCAGGUCCAUAGCGCUAUCUUAAGACAAUUGCCUACAGUUAAAUAAACAUUUUGACUAUAAUAUAGAUGAAGCAAUGUUAAAAUGAAGAAUAUAAGGAAAGAAGCUGUGCCAAAUUACUCUUUCUUAUUCCUUCCAUUAAUCUAUACACUGAAAAAUAAUUAAAACCAGGCCGUUCACAUAAAAAUGCUAAUAGAUUUUUUAAAUGCGUUAAGUGUUAAUAAUACAGCAUCUACCAACAUUCAACAAACAAAGGUUUUGUAUCCCCAAUGACAAGGCUUCUCUGUUUAGCAUUAAUCUGCUCAAUGAAAGAAGUAAUAAAAAGAUAACUUUGUUGUGCAUCAUACAUUAUUCAUUCGGAAUCGAUGAAUUUAGGUUUGGGGUAAUCAUUGUUUCAUCAGCUUAAAUUUUUUAACUAUAUACUGCACUCAACGUGCAUUCCCUAUAAAAGUAACUUUACUACAAGUAAGCAAUAUACUCAUCAUUUUCCUGCCUCUUCUAGGUAUUGCUAUUUACUAGGAUACUUUGAAACCUAGGGCAAUCCCAUCCCCAAAAUUUCAUCGAAAGGAAUCAAUUGAGAAAGAGACGAAGACCCACCCCUUUCAAUCUCCGGAUCUGGCCACGGAGCCCGGUGAUACUCUCGUCCAAGUCGCCGUGCAUCGGAUCGAUCUGCAGCUGUAUCUCUUCCGAUCUCUCCGGCGCCGCCGUGGACCUAGCGAUGAGCCCUUCCCUGCAACAGCGAAAUCGAUAGGGAAAUAGGAGAAAUUGUGGAAAUUUGAAACCAUACUAGGACACGGAGAUCGCGAGAGAGAGAGUUCGGCCAUUGCAGGGGACAAGAGAUGUACCUGGAUCGAAGAGUAUGGGAGCCGUGGAAGGGAUUCGCCAUGGGAAGAGGAGGAGGAGGAGGUGGUGGUUAGGGAGGAGCACGGAGAAGACGAGCACGAAAUUUGAAGCGGCAAAAAUGGAAGGGAAAAGGGAGCGGGAGUGAGGGGAGGCGACUCCGCGAAAGAAUCGUAGGGCCGAACCGGCCGGUUCGCCAGUGGACCGGAAUCGCAAAAAGAGAUGGACCGAAUAAGCAUUGUAAAUGGGUUGCGUUGGGUCGAUGGGCUAAAUUUGGGCCCAUGGACCAAAGCAAUUGGCCCAAAUAUAUAUAGCUUCUUUUUUUUUUUUUAGAAACUAUUUUCGGGAGCAGCGAAAAAAAAAAUACGAGCGAGUGAUAUAAGUAACAUUUGAGAAGCAUAAGAUGGCAUAAGAUGGACAUUUAUGUUACAUAACCAAAGCUGAUUCGCAUACAUAAACACAUUGAGCUAAAACGUGUGUGGCUCAAGCCAAAAGGAAGAGUAGGUGCACCCCAACCAAACAUGUUGGGGGGGUAAAUGCAACACAUCUCUUUCCUCUACCUUCUCCCUCUUUGCAUAUACUAGCUUCAACGUAAAGCACACUACCUUUAUUAUUCUGAUUACAUUCCCUGUAGUCACCAUAAAAAAAGAAGUUGUGGGCGUUAAAAGUUUGAACAGCCUAUGUAAAGAAAGCACUCAUACAGCCUUAUAUUAUUCUAUGUAGAACUUAAUCUUGUCCUUGUCACAGUAGGGCCCAUUCUGUUACAUCACACUUAUGUUUUUAAAUAGCUAAAAUGAACAACUCAAAUUGUGAGGUGUUGAGGAGACACAGAAUGUUGUAAACUGUUGCUCUAUGGAGCAGGAGCAGGAGCAGGAGCAGGAGCAGGAAAAAGGUUCAUUUCUCUUCCUCUUCUUCAAUCUUGUUCUUGUUUAUUUCAAUCUAAAAAUAAGCAAAAUUACAGGGUCCAAGGUUGAUGAACCACUUGAUCGUGUUCAAACAAGCUCCACAGUGCUCGAUUACAUGGUGCGCUCUCUCACAUACAUACUCAUUACGUCAUAUACCGGAUUAUACUAUACAAGCAAAUUUGCAUGUGACAUAUUAGCAAACUAGCACACAAAAUAACAUACAAGAGCAGUAUUAUGUACACACUGCUAUACAAUACUGCAAGACUAUGGCAUUAAUCCACAUUUCUUCUGAAUAAUAAUAACAAAGUUUGCUAUUUUUAUUGCUAUUUUUCUUAUGGCCUCGUUUGGAGCCUAGGAUUGAGAUAUUUAGGACUUUAUAUUGCUUUCCUUGAGCACCAAAUUUGAUCAAUCAAAAUACAACUUAGACAUCAAAGAUAUAUGGAAAUCCUCUUUGCUAAGUGCAGGGAGUGGCCAAUACAAAUGCAAUGACGGAGAACGAACAAAAGAUCCGGGAUGAGUUGGAGUCCGAAAUUGAGAGGGGUUUGGAAGAAGAGAUUAAAGAUGGCAUAUAUGGCCUCGCACUCCGCCUCCAAAGAUUGUAUCUGCACAAGCAGCAUAGGAAGAUGUCGGCAUCGUCAACUAGUUCUAAUAGGGAACCAUCGCACGGACCAAAAAGUGAACGUCUCUCCGAGCUGAAUAUCAUUAUUAGAUCAGAUGGCAAGAGCAAGAUUGAGACAUAUGAAGUCAAGCCCAGUUUUCACAACCUAGUUAGACCAUACAGUUCUCGAUCUAAAGCUAAGCAAGUAAAGUUGCGCAAUUGCAUCAGUCAAUUGGAUCAGUCGAAGUUACUUCGACCGCAAAAAGGAUUCAUAGGUGGCAGUAAAAUGAAUAGCUCUUUGGGGUUCGAACCUCAAGAGGAAUGGUUGGAUGCCUCUUGUCAAAAUGACAAACAGUUCGAGAGGAAAAAUAAGAAAAAGAUUGGCUCGGAAUGGAAAUAUUAGCAAACCUGGAGUAAUACUAAGUGAACGGAAUAAUAAAACUGCAAAACCAGGCUCUUCAGAGCACGUCCAGGAACCUUACCUUAUACUUGUAUUAAAGUUGUGUGAAUAAAUCUUGUUUGUGAAAUAUGAAGAAUAAAUAUGAAGAGAUUGAGAAUUGAAACACUAAACCACCAUGAUUUUUGUGAUGUUCCAUUUUACCAACUAGCCUGUAGCAAUAGCUAAAAUUAUUAUCGCACCAUAUAGUCUUCAACGAAUUGUCAAUACAUACAAUCUAAUGUAAAUUAAAAUACUCGGCUCCAAUAUUUUCUACCAAAAAAAAAAAAGCAAAACUGAAUAGAAAUAAUGGCAACCUUGUGUUUUCCUAUGGUUGUAAUGUAUACAUUCACAGCGGAAUCAAAAUACAUAGCACUCACACUAUUCUCUACCAGAAAUGUAGAUAGGAGCUAUCGCAUACUUAGCUUACGGCCAUUCUCCCAAUCAAACAGACCAUACCAAAUUUACAUCUCAGAAAAAAAACCAAAUGCAAUAUCAUUACAGAAUCAUGAUCCAAUAUAAAACAGAUAUUGAAGUAGAACAAAACUUUGAAUUUCUAUAUCUUACAGAGAUAUGAGAACUGAACUUCAAUCUAUUAACCUUAAUAGAUGGUGAUUCCAGAAGACAACUAGAGAAGCUAAUAAUUUUCAAUUAUAUCAAGUGCCUAAUGUAUGCUUUCAAUGAAACAUCAAUUUCUGUGAAGUGAAAAUGUUAAUUAACAAGAGCCACCUUUCACGAUAAAUGAAUAUUUCUAUAAUAGAAGCCACUUUUCAAGAUAAGAAUACAUGGACGGGAGUGAAAUCAAAGUGACAUAAACAUGUAAAUUUAUUCACAAGCAUGAUAAUAUAUAACAUCUCAAAUCAGAAGAAACAAUCAUUUAAAUAAAGAAAUGAUAAAAACACAAACACCUCCCUGUUUUUAAGUAUAUAAGAUAAACCAAAAAGUUCAAGCAUAAAUGAUAUUUUUAAUCUGAACAUGACCCUGUAUAUAAAGCAUAGACACCACCUGAACAAGUAAGAGCAGAUGUAUAUAGUCAUUGUUAGGGUUGCACAUUCUGACCGCCACCAACAGCCUCCUUCAGACUUUUCACGGCACUGUCAUAGUUCACGAAACCCAUGAACCAAAACUCAUGGUUGUCAAUAGAAACAACCUGAAUAUAUUUUUCUGCUGGAUUUGCUUGGCUUGUGGAAGGGUUAACAGAUCUCAGCUGCUGUAGAGGAAGCAACACCUGUUACAUUUCAAAAGAAAAACAUUGGUAUAAGCCCAUGUUUGUAUUCCGUAAGAAAAAGGUCAUGUUAACAAGUGCCUAUUAGGAGUUCAGUCAUAAAUAGUCAAACCAACUUCUAGAAGCAGCAUGACUAUUCUAGGCCUAUCCUUGUAGCCAAUACAGAACUAACUAGUCAACCUGACUCAGCAUUCGCCAAAAACUGGGGAACAUGCUAUAAAAUACUGGGAAUGCAUAUAAACAAUUCUUCCAUAGCAUGAUAAGUCCAGAAAACUGAACUACUAAAUACGAUAAAAAUUGUCAGAGAUAAAAAGAAUUUUGACCCAAAAAUAAAGAUCGCAUGAAGACCAAACACAACAACCCCGUAAAACCCCAGAAAACUGAACCACUAAUUUAAAACUGUAUAGACCUUACUCAGACUAUGGCGCAUUUUUUGAAAUAGGCAUCUGAGCUUCCAAAAGUUUUGCUUUUACUCCUAACUUAGAGCAUAUUAGAGCUCUAAAUUAGAGCAUACUCACUUUAGACACAUCACAGAAGAAGAUCAUGUGGCAGUCUCAAGAGAGAUGGUUGUGUUGAACAUCAGUGAAUAUACAUAAAGUUAAUGAAUAGAUGAACCUUGUAGUAGCUCCAUUCAGUUUUGUCCCCAACUUUAUACGAAAGUGGAUUGUCACUACAAAAUGCAAGCUUUGCGGUGGAAAGGUACAAAACUCCCAUAACAGGACCAGCGGAGGUCGAAAGAUAGCAUGCGUAUGCUUUCUUAAGUUUUUCGUCAGGAGCAGUGUCAAAUGUUUGUUGAAAUAUUUUAUCGUAACCACCUUCUGCUAUGACUUUUGUUGUUUGAGCAAUUCUACCCAUUGCUGCAUCCGCAACGCUAGGUCCUGUUUUCACUGUUUCAAGAAUGAUAGUUUAAUCAUGAUAGCAAAAACACGAACAAGCAUCAACACAUACAAAAUCUAUAAAAGAUUUGCUGAUAUGCAAUUGCAUACACAAAAUGAGAUGGAGUAUAUACUCUUUUAAAGAUUUAUCAGGAAAACAAAAAAAAAACUGGUUUUGUAACAAUAGCUUCCAAGAAAUAAGAAACUAGUAAAAGUUGUAUUUAGCAUAUAAAAAACCUACUGUACAUGAUUAAGAGACCAAAUAAUGGCCACAGUUGAGUAUCUUCUCUUGAAAUAUAUAAAAUGUGUAUGCACAAAGUUGGGCAAGUAUCAGAUCCACUAAUAUGCAAUUGAGUUGAUACAAGAGCCAAUACUCAAGCCAGUGGCUCUAUGUAAAUUCAACUUUUCCUCUGUUCAUCCCUUCAUUUCUUUGUUGUUGUAUUCUUCUAUCAUCUAUAGUUUUUAAGAAAGCGGAGGAGAAAACUAAGAAAAAACAAAAACAAAGAUCUACCGUCAAUUAGAGAUUUCACUACUGUGAAAGGGAUAAACCAGGGGCGGCAUUCACUGAUCUCAUUCAGGCACCCAAAAACUUAGAUGCAUGAGCAAAGAAUAAGCAUGUCCUGGAAGGAACUAAAGCUCAAAUUGAUAAAUAUUAAAAAAAAAAAAAUUUGAAACAUCUAUCUAUAUCUAUACAGUUGCAGCAUAAAUUUCCCAUCAAAAACCAAGCAUCCAGUUUCAAGUACGGGUUUUAUAUUGUUCCAUCAUGAUCAAUAAUGACACCACUCUCAGACUGAUCAAGGUCCCAUCAUAAGCAUUUUCGCAAGGAAAUAUAUUGCAUAUAAAAACUAUCCGUCAUUCAAAAGUCCAAGCUUUGAGCAAUCUACAACUAUCAAAUACUAAAUUAAAAUUUCUGAUAGUUUGCUAAGUACAGUAAAAACCACGCCACACCCUAAUAUACAAGCAUUAACCCAUAGAUCUCAUCAACAAGGACACAUCCACACACUUCUUCCAAAUUAAAUUCAAAAAUCAAAAUAAGUUGAUAAAAAGCGCACAAUUAAACCACAAAAUAUAGCUACUCACAGUGUUGCCAAACAUUCCCGGCCAAAUCCUCGGUCUUCUUCGCCGCGUCCCCGAACUUCUUCCCGAACUUCCCGAGCGCAUCGCGCACGGUAUCCAUCGUAUCUACAAAACCCCGAAUCAACCACAAAAACCAUCAAAUACUCCAUCACAACUCUAGUUACCAAUCACAAUCGAAUCAACGAACAGAGAGAGAGAGAGAGAGAGAGAGAGAGAUACUUUUGGAGGCGGGGCCGGGGGAGGCGGUGAUGUAGGGGUUGGGAUCCGCGGCCAUGGCGGAGGAGGAGGAGGAGGAGGAGGAGGGGGGAGGAGGAGGGGUGAGGUCCUCGGGGUUGAGCUUAGGGUAAGGGGCGUACUCGGGCGAGUGAUCGCCGUUGGAUCCCUUCUUCUCCGGGUGAUCGACGGUGGAUUGAUCCAUGGGAGGCGCCCGCGUCGGUGGCGUUCGAUGGAUCGGAGCGACUCCGAGAUCGAGCUCACAUAUAUAAUUAUUAUAUUAUGGGCAGGUGCUUCCUUACGAAGGAGGGGAUGAGACGAGAUCAUAUUAAUUUCGAGGUGUUAUCCAGAACAGUGGGGUCCACACUGACUGAUGAGGGAGGACUUGUCGUGGAUCCUGGACCUGGUGCACCACAUCAUCCAAUUAUCAUACGUGAAGUCUGACGUGGCACAACUGAAUGUUGGGCCCAAGCCCAAGUUGGAAAGGCUAGAUCGGGCUUCGGCAAACUGGGCCUUCAUAACUAAAAUUUUGGCCCAAAAUUGGACGGCCUCGGCCCGAACCUACUAGUCGCCCGUCCGAUAAUGGUUUAGCAAAAGCUUUAGUUUAACGGAGACAGUAUCUAACGCAAGAUUACUUCAUUUGCUGCUUCUAUGACCAUGUAAUAAUUGGUACGAAUCUUAAAGUCGUACAAAUAGUGGAUAAAAUAGUUUCAUCCUGGAGAGGUUUUUUUUUUUCAUUUUUUUCCUUUUCGGUUCGUGAAGAGAAUGAAAGUAAUAAUGGAAAAUAUGCCAAAAAUUUCGCACGGGGCGAUCGGGCUCGUUCAUAAGUUUGAAAGGAGCAGGACGAGACAUUCUAACUUUAAAUGCUGAAGCAACACAAAUUAACAUAUCUCGAUUUAAAGUAAUAUAAUAUUUGGGAAAAGAAAAGAAAAGAAAUAUCAUUGGGAGACUACAAUCCCAGAUGGACUUAGUUUCAAUAUCCAAAGAUUGGAGGGACUAAUAUGCAAUAACAUACAAUAAAUUGAUAAUGCCCAUCCUGGUGAUCUUGAUUACCUGAAUCUAGAUUGGUACUAAUUUAUUUAUUCAAUUAAAACCCACUUUAUUAUAAAAAUGAGCAGAAGCAAACCCCACUUACAUUGUGGGUAUGCACAAGUAAAUAAGCUAAAUAUAAGAAGAAAGAAUGGGCACCCACAUUCUCAUCAACAGCUAAAAAAACAAUACCUUUCCAAGAGCUUAAUUAGAAAUUUAGAAAAUCCAACAACCCUUGCUGAUGGAAGUGCUUUAACAAAAAUGUAAAGGCCCAAAGACAAAAGGCAAUGGGCUUUAACAUAAAAUGUUUGCUGGGCCCAAUUCGCUUUUUCACUUCAAAAGCAAAAGUUAAAUGUGUGACAAAACUUUAAAAAAAAAAAAAAAAAAGGGAAAAUCCAUGAGGUUUCUGAUAGGAAGCUGAUACCAAAAAGCAAAACUCCAAAUCACUAAAAUAUUUGAAUAGAAAAAUGGUUACUUUAUUCUGGCUAAUCUACUCAAAGCACUUUUGUAGAAGCUCCAAUCAAACUAAAGACCUGUUUGGCUCUUGAAAUAAUUUUUUUUUUAUUGAGAAAAUAAAACCUUCAAAUUUAAGUUUCUAUUUUUUAUUCUCAACUUUGUGCAAUGGAGCAGGCUAUUCUGAAUAUACCUAUACUGCUAGGAACAUAAAUAUAAAUGAUACCGAAAGACCAGUAAACCACCCACAUAUAACAAUAUGGAGUCCAAAAUCAUUAAUCUUUUUUAAAAGACAAAUAAAGAGAUCUAGAAAAGGCAACUUAAUUAAAAAUGAAGCUAGAGUAGAUGGAUCUUAAUGGGGGUGUGGUGGAUCAGGAUCAUGCCAAAGAGAUAGGCAUAGUGCAGUGGACCGCUCUCCUUUUGCCUGCUCUUGUGAUUUCCUCAUCCCCCAGUAGGGGUGUGAAUAAAUAAACAAAGAAGGGGUUGUUAUGGCUCAUGGGGUGAUGUUUGUUCCACUCUCAAUCAUGCAUAAAGUGGGGCCUUUGUUUAAUUUAUUGGGUUUGACGGGCAUUUACACUUGUACCAAUGAAGUACCAACAAGCUAUUCGUGGGAUUGUUGGGAGUCAUCUCCCAAGCUAUUGCUUUGUUUUUAAGGGCACUUAAUUGAAUCAUCUACAUGAGUGGAAUUUGUACAGAGAUACACUGAUUCUAUGUAAGGAACACUACUAAUAGUGGAAUUUCUUUUCUUAUAUAUUUGAGGGAUCCCUUGUUUAAGGUGAAUUUGUGAUUUUAGUUUCUCGUGUGCAGUGUGCAAGGGAUACAAAGUGGCAAAACAGAUUUGGCAUAGUGAUGAUUGUACCUACAUGUACUGCUGUUCUCUUAAUUUAGCCAUGAAAUGAAACGAGCCAAGUCUUUUAUAAUCCUAAAAGCUUGUUUAAUUCUGCUUUUACUUUUUUCAUAUUAAUGACAAUAACACGUCUGGACUUGAGAUUUUUUUAGUCAGCCCAUAACGUAGACUUGAAUUAAAUGGGAAAAAAUUAAUAUGCUAGGAGCCUGACGUGACUCGAACUCCGGACCUCCUAUUCUGAUAUCAUGUGAAACAAGUGUUGUACUCUAAAAGUUUAAACUAUUGAAGAACGAUGUUUAAAUAUUUUUAUAUUUAACGCGUAUAUCAAAACAAAAUUAAAAUAGAUUAAUAAAAGACAUAAAUGAGAUUCUAAUUAAGUAUCAACAAUAUAAGCUCUAAUAUAUAAUAUUAUUGAUUCUGUUGUAGCAGAAGUUUUUACGAGUAGUGUUUUCCGUAAUAGUGCUCUAAUUUUACUUCAUCCAACAGUAUUAGAGUUUGUACCACCAAACUUAUCAAAUUAGAUUACAGUGAGCUGGAGUUAUUUAACGAGAUAAAUUGUGCUUCGCCUCAAAAUAACGACGAAUAAUUUUGGAUGGCACGAAUAAUUUAUUUAUUUACUCAUCCUAAGUACAAACGGUCGAGUUCGGCUACAUUUGCAAAGGAUCAUCAAUCAAAAAAAAAAAAAUUGAUGAACGGCUCUGAUCGAACCUGGUGGGCCCCAAAUACGGCUGUACCCAAGCAGGACACGUGAGUACGUGACGGUCAAACAGAAACUCCCGUGCCACGAACCAACUUUGACCGAUCAAUAGAAUCCCACGCGAUUAGAACCACCCCAGGCACGUGCGAGCGCGCACGUGCAGCCCUGUUUUAGGUGUAGAACAAGUCUCUUUCCUUUGUCAUGUAACGCUACUUUAAUAUUCGCGCAUUAUAUAUAAGACGACGAUAUAUGAUUAAUUAGACCAUCUCUUAAUAAAAAAGAUUUUUAUAUAAUUUUUAAAAUUACCAAAUAUUAUUGUUGUCCUUUUAUAUAUAUAUAUAUAUAUAUAUAUAUAUAUAUAUAUAUAUAUAUAUAUGCAGGACUGCUGUGCUCUCCUGAGCCGUUUUCGAUGAUGGAGUUUCCGAAUCGACGAUCGGCUCCGUUAGANNNNNNNNNNNNNNNNNNNNNNNNNNNNNNNNNNNNNNNNNNNNNNNNNNNNNNNNNNNNNNNNNNNNNNNNNNNNNNNNNNNNNNNNNNNNNNNNNNNNNNNNNNNNNNNNNNNNNNNNNNNNNNNNNNNNNNNNNNNNNNNNNNNNNNNNNNNNNNNNNNNNNNNNNNNNNNNNNNNNNNNNNNNNNNNNNNNNNNNNNNNNNNNNNNNNNNNNNNNNNNNNNNNNNNNNNNNNNNNNNNNNNNNNNNNNNNNNNNNNNNNNNNNNNNNNNNNNNNNNNNNNNNNNNNNNNNNNNNNNNNNNNNNNNNNNNNNNNNNNNNNNNNNNNNNNNNNNNNNNNNNNNNNNNNNNNNNNNNNNNNNNNNNNNNNNNNNNNNNNNNNNNNNNNNNNNNNNNNNNNNNNNNNNNNNNNNNNNNNNNNNNNNNNNNNNNNNNNNNNNNNNNNNNNNNNNNNNNNNNNNNNNNNNNNNNNNNNNNNNNNNNNNNNNNNNNNNNNNNNNNNNNNNNNNNNNNNNNNNNNNNNNNNNNNNNNNNNNNNNNNNNNNNNNNNNNNNNNNNNNNNNNNNNNNNNNNNNNNNNNNNNNNNNNNNNNNNNNNNNNNNNNNNNNNNNNNNNNNNNNNNNNNNNNNNNNNNNNNNNNNNNNNNNNNNNNNNNNNNNNNNNNNNNNNNNNNNNNNNNNNNNNNNNNNNNNNNNNNNNNNNNNNNNNNNNNNNNNNNNNNNNNNNNNNNNNNNNNNNNNNNNNNNNNNNNNNNNNNNNNNNNNNNNNNNNNNNNNNNNNNNNNNNNAAAUUAGGCUCGCUCGAGCUCGGCUCGAAUUAAUUUCAAUCCAAGCUUGAGCUUAAAUUUAGGCUCGAAAUUAAUUUCAAGCCGAAUUUGAGCCGAGGGAAGCUCGCUCGAGCUCGGCUCGUUUCCACCCCUACGUUUAGGUGAGAGUAUACAUAAUAUUUUAGAUUUUGAAAAAAUAUAUAUAAUAUUUUGAAGUUUGAGAGGAUUAUAUUUGAAGAAAUAUAUAUAAUAUUGUGGGGAAUUAUAUGCUUAAAUUAAGCACGAGAAAUUUAAGCUUGUAGAUAAGAAUGAUUAAAAUGCAACAUCCGUAAAAGGAUAACGAUUUUGUUUUAGUUCCUAAUCGAAAAAAAUUUGGCAUCCGAUAAUUUCCCCGCGAUGGAUACACUUUAAUGAUGGGAAUGAGAGAAACAUCACACUUGACUAAUCACCAAUGAUGUGAAUUAUAACCCAUACAUAAAGAAGCAUAAGAUGACAUGAUCAAUAUAUAUAUUGGGUUAAAAAAAAAAGGGAAACUUUUAUGUAGUUAAACUAAUAACAACAAGACAGUGUAUUGUAAGCCCCACUAUAUUUAACAUCAAAUAAACUUAAAAAAAGUANUUCUUUAUACUAUAUAAAACAAGAUCAAUAUCUUUGAUUUAAAAUUUUAAUGUCAUAUUAUUAUAUUUUGUAAGAUUUUUAUUUUCAGCCGUUGAUUUUGAGCCCCUUUGUUCACUAGGCAAAUGAUAUCGUAAAAUCGUAAAAUUUAUUUUCUAGGUACUUCAAAUACUCUAGAUCAAGUUUAACAGCGCCGAUCAACGAUUCUCAAGUCGCAACAUCGAAAACGAGCUGGAAGUACGGAAGGCUCCGUGCUUCCGAUAGCAUAGUAACCUCACUAUAUAUAUAAAAAAUUAAGUUUGUUAUCUAAUAAGUGCACAUAUUACUGGAGAAAACAAAAAAUGGUGAUAAGCUGUACAAUCUAACAAGCUUUAUUAACAUUAAAGAAGAGCCGUUCCGUAUCUCCCGUGCAAAAGAAAACUUUUGCGAACUGCUUGACGAAGACAUCCAAUCCAAAAUUCAAAUCUCAUCUCAAUCGUUGACGCUGACGGAUACCUUCUUGAUGGACGGUCUGAUUGACCGCGAGAAUUUCUUGUGCAUCAGGGUUGCAGGAAACUCACGCCGUAUCUCUUGUUGCUUGAUCACCGUCACUAGCACCAAAUAAACAAUCCCACAAGCUAAAUCCAAAGUAUGGGGGCUUUAAUGAAUCCCAAUUAAAGAAACCAAACUCCAUUGAGCAGAGAAAGAGGCCAAAACCAACGCAACAUUAUUAUUAUUAUUAUUAUUAUUAUUUUAUUAAAAUUAUUAAAAUCUUAACUUGCAAGUGGGUUUAAACAAGCAGUGUUGGGUAACCGACUUUGCAGUGGUGCGAGCCUGUGAAUAGCCUGGAGAAUCCCAACGCCCAGAUGCACAGACAUAAAGAAUAGCCAAUCCAGUAAUAAAUAAAUAAAUAAAUAAAUACAAGGGUAAAGAUGUACGGAGAACUCCUGUGCUAUACUGAUAUUGCAACCUGAUGCUUAGGACUUUGAUUAUUGCAUUUAGCUCUUGCUUUUUUUCCUUUUUUUUCUUUUAAAUAGUUAUUUAUCUGUUUUUCGUAAAUAACUUUAGUAGUUUUUAAUUCAAAAACUAAUAUAUUUAAAUAAUAAUAUUGUGGAUUAUUAUUCUUAUGCACAUGAGUCCUAUUCAAAAAGAUUGGAGUGCCGAGCUCUAAAGAAAAAUUGAGUUUCGCUAAUUGCUUAAGGCCCCGUUUGGUUCGGGGGAUAAGCCGGGAUAACGAAAGUUAUCCCCGCUAUUCCGCCAAACAGAAUCAUUUUUUACCAGAAUAUUUUAUUCCGGUCAAAGCUUGCUAUUCCCGGUUAUCCCGGAAUAGCAAACUUUUUACUAUUCCACCAUUUUGGUGGAAUAGUGCUAUUCCAAUGCUUAAUUUUAAAUUUAAUUAAAAUUAUAAAAUGAAUUAAAACUCAAUUAUAUAAAUAUAAUAUAUUAUUUUUAUUAUAAAAUUAUUAAUUGUACUAUAUUAAUACAUAUUAUUUAUAUUUAAAUAUUGUAAUAAAUUUUAUAAUAAAUUAUAUUUAAAUACUAUAAUAAUAAAUUUAAUAAAUUAAAAUUAAUUUUGAUAUCUUAAAUUUUUGAAAUUUAAAUUUCAUAUUUUAUUUUUUAAAAUUUAAAUUUGAUCUUAAAUUUAAAGUUUGAAAUUUAAAUUUAAAUUUUAAAAUUUAAAAUUUAAAAUUUGAGAUUUUAAAUUUUAAAUUUUAAUUUUAAAUUUUGAAAUUUAAAAGUUAAAAUUUUAAAAUUUGAAAUUUAAAAGUUAAAAUUUUAAAUUUUAAAAUAUAAAUACAAAAUAUAAAAAUUCAAAUUCCAAUAUAAAAAAAGGGAUAAUAUUAUUAUUUUUAUUUAUAACUACCCACUUUAAUUCUUGUUCUAUCUUAUCUAACCAAACGCUAUUUUUCUUAUUUACAGAAAUAACCCAAUUUUCAUCCAAACGUAAAAUUGAUCUAAUCCCCGCUUAUACCUCAAUUUAUACCUAUCCCUGGAAUACCCACUUUUUGCUUAUUCCUGAACCAAACGAUACCUUAGAUAAUAUGUAAUAAUAUUGAUAUUAAAAAAUAAUUAAAAUAAAUAAAUAAAAAGUAUGAGGACCAGGUGCAAAGUACUGCUCAUAUAUUUUACCACCCCCUCCCCCCGUAAAGAAAAAUAUAUAAAUAAAUAAUAAAGAACAAAGAGUAUAGUAACCAACCUAUACAUGAUGCUAAUAUGCCUGAACAAUAAAGCAGAAAUAUGCUCAACAUUAAAAAAAAAGAGAGAGAAAAACAAAUACCAUCCCUUCACUAUCCCAUAAGGCCACGAGGGCGGCCACUCCAGUCCAAUCUCCCACGUCUCUCUUUCUCGCUUCUCUCUCGUACUAUAUUUUCUCUCUCCUCCCGACCUUUCACUUUUGCAUUCUAGUCUCUGUUUCUUCCACUGUACUUACUUAGCGCCCUUCCCAGUUCCCCCCACCCCCCUUAAUUUCGCUCUCUCUUCUUCGAGACCUUCUCCAUUCUCUCUCUUUCUCUCUCUCUCUCUCUUUCUCUUAUUAGAGAGUAAAGAGAGAGAGAGAGAGUAAAGAGAGAGAGACAGAGAGAGAGGAGAGAGAGGAGAAGGUGAUGAUGUCGGAGGAGGAGGAGGAGGGGGAAGGAGAAGAGCAGGAGAAGCGGCGGGCAGGGGAUGCGGCGCCGGCGAUGUGGGGGCAGAUCCUGGAGAACGUGGUGGAGAACGUGCUGCAGUUCCUGACGUGCCGGCGCGACCGGAACGCGGCGUCGCUGGUGUGCCGGUCGUGGCACCGCGCCGAGGCCCGGACGCGGGGGGACGUGUUCGUGGGCAACGCCUACGCGGUGUCGCCGGGGCGCGUGGCGCAGCGGUUCCCCGCCCUCCGCUCCCUCCUGCUCAAGGGCAAGCCCCGCUUCGCCGACUUCAACCUCGUGCCCCCCGGCUGGGGCGCCUCCCUCUCCCCCUGGGCCCAGUCCGCCGCUUCCUCCGCCUCCUUCCGCUCCCUCGAGCGCCUCACGCUCAAGCGCCUCUCGCUCUCCGACGCCGACCUCUCCCUCCUCGCCCGCUCCCUCCCCUCCUUCCGCGACCUCACCCUCCUCUGCUGCGACGGCUUCGGCACCCCCGCCCUCGCCGCCCUCGCCGAGCACUCCAAGUCAUCACCUUCUUCAUCAUCCUCAUCCUCAUCCUCAUCAUUAUAAUUAUUAUAAUUAAUUAACUCUCUCUUCUCCCUCUCUCUUACACACGCACAGGCACAGGCACACACAAAGCGAAAGAGAGAGAGAGAGAGAGAGAGAGAGAGAGAGAGAGAGAGAGAGAGAGUAAUAAUAAUAAUAAUAAUCCUUAAUUAAUUGAUAAAUUAAUUAAUUAACUAGCUAGUAUUUCAUUGUUUGUUUUUCUAAUUCGUUCCGCAACACGCAGGCAGCUCCGCGUGCUGGACCUCAUCGACAACGACCUCGCCGACGACGACGAGGACGACGCCGUGGACUGGGUGUCCCGCUUCCCCGCCGCCGCCACCUCCCUCGAAUCCCUCUCCUUCGAGUGCGUCGCCUUCGCCGUCGGCUUCGACGCCCUGGAGGCGCUCGUCGCCCGCUCCCCGCGCCUCCGCCGCCUGCGCGUCAACCAGCACGUCUCCGUCCCCGCCAUCCUCCCCGUCUGCCCCAACCUCACCUCCCUCAAUUUGAGCUACGCCGAUAUCUCCGCCCACCAGCUCAGGCCCGCCAUUUCGCAANGGACUGGGUGUCCCGCUUCCCCGCCGCCGCCACCUCCCUCGAAUCCCUCUCCUUCGAGUGCGUCGCCUUCGCCGUCGGCUUCGACGCCCUGGAGGCGCUCGUCGCCCGCUCCACCUGCCUCUCCGGCUUCCGCGACCUCGCCCCCGACUACCUCCCCGCCAUCCUCCCCGUCUGCCCCAACCUCACCUCCCUCAAUUUGAGCUACGCCGAUAUCUCCGCCCACCAGCUCAGGCCCGCCAUUUCGCAAUGCCACAAUCUCCAGACCUUCUGGGUAUAUAUAUUAUCUAUUAUAUAUAUCACCCCACCCUCUCUUUCUUCAAUUAAUUCGCCCGAUCAGCUUCUCCCUUUUUUUACCACGGAGUUCCGUCCCGCUGUCUUGCAGGUGCUCGACACGGUGCGCGACGAAGGUCUCCAAGCCGUGCAAUCAGCUCCGCGAGCUUCGGGUCUUCCCCUUAGAUCCGACGGAGGAUUCCGAGGGCUCCGUUUCCGACAUCGGCCUCGCCGCCAUCUCCCGCGGAUGCAGGGAUCUCCGAUCCAUCCUAUACUUCUGCCAGCGGAUGACCAAUGCCGCCGUCACCGCCAUGUCCGAGAACUGCCCGGACCUCGAGGUGUUCCGACUCUGCAUAAUGGGCCGCCACCGGCCCGACCACCGCACCGGCCAGCCCAUGGACGAGGGCUUCGGGGCCAUCGUCGUCAACUGCAAGAAGCUCACCCGGCUAGCCGUGUCCGGCCUCCUAACCGACAAGGCCUUCGAGUACAUCGGCAGCUACGGGAAGUCGGUCAGAACACUCUCCGUGGCUUUUGCCGGGAACAGCGAUUUGAGCCUGAAAUAUGUCCUCGAGGGUUGCACCAAUUUGCAGAAGCUCGAGAUCCGGGAUAGCCCCUUCGGCGAUGCGGGCCUGCUUUCCGGGAUCCAUCAUUUUUACAAUAUGAGGUUCGUGUGGAUGUCGUCCUGCAAGCUAUCGCUGAACGGAUGCAAAGAGGUGGCUCGCAGGCUGCCUCGAUUGGUGGUGGAAGUGAUAAGAGACCGGGCGGAGGACGAGGAGAGCGGGGCCGUGGAGAAGCUGUAUAUGUACCGCUCUCUCGCGGGGCCAAGAGAUGACGCGCCGCCUUUCGUGAACAUCUUGUGAACUAGAGCUGCUGAUUAUUCUGAAUUCGGUCGGUUUGUUUUCGUAUCCCACCGGAUUCCAUUAUGCUUGCUUGCUCCGUGGCGUGAAUAGUUGAUGACGGUGUUCUUCGUUGUUCGCAUGAAUAGGUGAUGAUGGUGGAAUAGCAGUUGCAGUCGAAGAUCAAAACAAUAUGGUGAGGAUGAGUACGAAGCGGAAAGGGGAGGUAUCUAGACGAAAGGAAAGAAGUAAUGUCGAGUUGUUGUAUCAGUAGGGCAUUAUUUAUACAGAUCAUCUGGAAUUUUAUGUGAUCGUGUUUUCCAGCACAAUCAAUUUUGCUUUCUGCGUUAGAGAAGAGCAUUCGGUCAUAGCUGCAUCGUUGAAGAGAUUUGUUUAGGUGACACCCGGAUAUCCGAAGCUUGUUUUCUUCAAGGUUUUUCUAUCCAUUUGAAGAUUUUGAUUUUGAUGUUUCUUUAUUUUCUUGGAUUGUUCUCUUUAUUUGAUCGAUGUGCCAGAUUCUUGAGAUAAAACUUACUUACCGGUAGGAACAAAUAAAAAUUAAUCUGUUUCUUGUUGCUGCUUUGGACUUCACUGUUUGAUCAUUGGCUACCCGAUAAGUGAUACUACUCGCAUUUGAUAGUUGUAGUUUUCUCGAAUUAUCCUCUGUUGUCGGCAUCCAGUUAUAAGGUUAGGCGACUAAUGAUUACAUAGCGGCCUGAAAAUUCAUACUGCGAAAGCUACAACCCAUGGCCUUUAUUGAGAAGUCAGUAUAAGUUAGGCUGUGGCCCAUUAAGUGAAAGGGAAAAACAAAAGAUUUCGUUGUCUUAGCAGUCACAGUCAUCAGGUUAGCACAGUUUUCUUUGAAUGCUUCGGUCGUUAGUCAUUCUGCAGCUAACUAUUGGCAGGUGGGCAGCAAUUAUCAAUCCCCAUAAUGUUUUUUUUAUUUUUUCUUUUUUUUUUUUGGUCUUUCACUAGACAUGUAUUUUUAACUUGCGCUAAUCUUUGUUGGCAAAAAGAAAUGUUAGCUAUCUUAGAAUCUCUUAAUAUUACUCUCUAGCACUGUUGAAUUGUCUUCAAGUCUGUAAAGCUUUAAAACACUGAAAGGUUAUUUAGUUGUGUCUUUAGCUUUUUGCUCUAUGAUAGAUUCUUUUUAUGACGAACUCCGCAUGUAGUACUUGCUCUAUAUGUGCCGUCAGCUUGUAUUUUGAGUCGAAGUCUUUUGAGGUGAAAAAAUCAAGCACCUUAGCAUAAUCUAGAAUUGAAACACUAGGGCAAGAUCAGACAGCUGCCGUUCUCUUUUUCUCUAACUGUCUGUUAGUCGACCAUGGCGAGGAGCAGAAGCAGCCAUCACGGCUUUUUCUCGUUGGCCCUGAUUCGAAAGAAGGUAAAGCGACUCAUCGGUCGUCAGGGAUCUAUCUACAGAGGUGAGCGCAUCCGGGCACAGAGGUGAAAAGAUGAUACGAGGACGAGAGGAUAAGGACUCAUCAGUUCAGUAGAAGCGAGCAUAUUUUGCUGUUGGAUUGUGAGGUCAGAAGAGGAAAAGAAAGAGAGUGACAUUUCCAGUUUAAAGGUGAUGCAAUCCAUUUGUUACAAGUGGACGGUUUAAUUGAGUACCACCCCUUGGUUGUAGGGGACCCCAAUCAUUGUUACUGCUACCUGUUUAUCCAUUUGUGCAAAUUACGAAAAAGAAAGAAAUCUUUAGGUAGUGAAUCUAGGGUAAAAAUCUGAUGCCUCUGCAGCUUUUGAGUUUUGUUAAUUUAAGUUAGGGGUUCAGUUAAAUUUCACGACGGUUCUGCAAAAUUUGAAAAUCGUAAGUUGAUUCUUUUUUUCUUUUUUUGACUGUCAGUGGUUGGUAGUUAGCAGAGCCUUGAACACAGCGCAAAUCGAAGCAACUAAAAGUUGGGGGAGGACAAUUCAAAAAGAAAAUCUGCUGAUAGAGUCUAUUUCGAAAAGGUCUCUACCUGAGGGGCUUCCUGUACAUUUCAACCUAUAGCUGCAGGAUGUUCUUUAUAAAGGAACUUGGUAAUUGUAGGCUUAGAGGAUGAUCAGGUUGACCAUUAUGGGUGAAACAAUUCACUCUUCCUCUCUUUUUCUUUGCAUUAUGAGGAACCUUUAGGUUUCUGUCAUAUUGUGUCUGAUAAAGCAGAGUAGUUUCUUUUCUUUCUCUCUUUUCUUUUUGAUGCCGAACAAAUUGAUGAAGAAAAGUUAGGCAGGGGGAGGGGAGGAUCAUUUAGCGAUUCGAUUACUGCUAAGAACAGCUCUCCUCACCUAACCAUCUUUUGAGCUAGGUGGGAGAAUCAAAUUCCUAUUUAUUGAGUGUACUUUAUUUGUUUAGAUGCUGAGAUCUCUAUGCUUACAGAUGGACUGUUAAACACCAAGUUGCAGAUAGCAUUUAAAAGUUGUUAGAUCAUAUUUUUAUCGCCUUUUCGAUCAUAGCAUCUCAGAAAUAGGGAUACAAGAGAUCUCAUUGCGCAGCCGCCUUUUCCUUUUUAGCUGAGAAAAGAAAUACAUAUCAUAUUAGUUUUCUAAUGCAUGGCCUUAUGCAAAAUAAGAUUAUCGCGUUACACUCCAUGCUCUCUCAUCAGGUAUCUACUCUUUUUCCUCAAAGUUCUUUAUUUCUACAUUUUUUUCUACUAGCUAUGUCAACAUGAUUGAUUGCUGAUUAACCCACUCCUUCGGAAAAUAUCUGUCGAUUGCGUGCGUAUCUACCAAUGUUAGUGAUAACUUUGAUGGAUAUUGGACUUUGAGUUGAACACUAAUAUAGUGACAAAAGUAAAACUUCGGCUGCAGAAAUUUAAUUUCUACCUUGAAUCUUUCUUCUCAAGGAAUAUGUUGCAUGUAACUAAUGACUAAACGAUUUCGGUAUUACAGUUUUGAUUUUUUACUACAUUAUAUAAGAUGUACAGAGCUGGGAUACUAUUGAUAGCACGAAGCAUUUGGUGCUAUUAAGUUUUCUGCCGUUAGAUUUAUUUCUUUUAUCAUUUUCAUCCGUUCGAUUAUACUAUUCAACCAACCACCUAUUCAACCUUAAAGGAUCCAUAUCAUUCUAACCGCAUAUCUUUUAAUUCAAGGGUGAAAAUUUUAAUAGCACCAAGUCAUUGGUGCUAUUAAUAGUAUUCCAGCCUAGUUCUCUCUCUCUCUAUAUAUAGAGAGAGAGAGUAGAGCUACUAUACUAUUGGAAGUAUAAAGUAGUUGGUGCUUCCAAUUUUUUAGCCCUUAGAUCAAUCCCAUUGAUCAUUUCUAACCAUUGAAUUAAUAUUAUUAACUAAUGGGGACCACUCAAUCCUAAGGGGACUGCUAUCAUUCCAAUCAUAGAAUUUUUUAUCAAAGGGCUAAAAAAUCGGAAGCACCAACUACUUUAUGCUUUCGAUAGCAUAGUAGCUCUACACUAUAUAUAUAUAUAUAUAUAUAUAUAACUAGGCUGGAAUACUAUCAAUAGCACCAAGUUAUUGGUGCUAUUGAUUUUUUAGCCCUUGAAUUGAGAAAUGGAUGGUUAGGAUGAUGUGGGCUCUCUAGGGUUGAGUGAGUGGUUGGUUGAAUAGUAUAAUCUAACGGGUAAAAAUAAUCAAAGUGUUAAAUCUAACGGUGGAAAACUCGAUAGCACCAAAUCAUUGGUAAUAUCGAUAGUACCCAUAUAUCCCUACAAUCUACAUCAGUGGCCAUGACCAAAUAACAGUCUUCAGAAAUCUUAGGCAUAAGCUUGGACCUAUAAAUGCUUCAUGUUCCUCUUUUUUUCUCUCUUUUUCUUUUUAUUUCGAGCUUUUGUAAUAUUUUGUAAUGGGCCUAAAAACUGUGUGAAAAUUCUGCAAGAAUUUGUUGAGGAAUAUCAACGUACAAAGUAGCUAUAUAGCUUUGCCUAAAAGUUGCUUAAAAGAACAUAUUCUAAACCAUAAAUGCCUAAAGAUCGUAGCCAGAUUUAUGAUGUUGAUAAUAUGUACAUAAUCUUUUGAUGUUUGAAACAAAAAAAGGUGAUUCUCUUUGACAGAUGAUGAAUAUAUACAAAGAAGAUUUUUGAUGUCUUAAGUGGCAAUCAUUCUUAAUGACAUGAGAGAUAAUAGGAUAAUUUAGUGAUAGAGAACAAAUUAAUACAGAUAAUGAGGCAGAAAAGAAAUAAAGUUUAUUGAGCUUCAGGAAAGAAAAGGAAAAUCAUAAAGGGAGAUAACACUUUAAAUCUUGGAAAUAUCUGAUUUGGAGAAUAUAUAGAUUUUGCGAUUGGAUUUACUCUAAUUUCAGAAAAUUCCAGUGAACUCUAUUAGAUUUAACUUUUAUGCCAAAAGAUCACAGAAUAUUUUGUUAAGAGGUGUUAGGAAUUAAUGCAUGCAGUAGAAAAACUAUUUUCUUUCUGGAAAAUAGUUUUCGGUAUGUUUGUUUAGUCGUAAAAGUAUAUAUAUUUUCAGUAAAAAUGGGUCGACGGAAAAUGAAAACUUGCACCAUUUUGUACACUACAUUUUUGUCUACCAUGUUUUCUUUUUAAUAUUUAGUCUUUACCAUUUUGUAUGUACCAGUUUUUUUUUAAUUUAAAAUUUGGAUAAUAAAAUUAAAAGUAUGAGAUGAAUUGGCAGUUGUUUGAAGUAUGGUGCAUGGGUGCAUUGGGUGCACAAUUUUAUUCCUUUUCUGGUGUACCUCCCCCCACAUUAUGAUUAAAAUAAAAUGUCUAAAUAAUAUAAUACACUAUGUGGUAAUUUACUGUAUUUUUAUUUAUAACAUACAAACUAAUAUCCAACAUAAUAUAUUAUAUUUUACAGAUUAAUAUAAAUAAUCUAUGUUAUAUUAUAUAAAUUAUUAUGUGUAAAUGCAAUAGAAGAGAAAAUAUAAUUUUUUUCUAAGCAACCAAAAAAAAUCUUCAUCUCUAUUUUUUGCCAUCCAAACGAGGAUAAUCUAAAAAAAAUACUUUCUUUUUCUGAUAGGCCAAACAUUAAAGUUUCUAAAACUGUUUUCCAACCGAACAGAUCCUAAGUGAUAGACUACUUUAACACGUUAUAAAAUAUUCUAACAAAAACUUAGCGGUACUAUUAGUUUUUUUUCUUUCCAGAGAGAGGAGGGUAGCAUGCUAUUCGCUUUAUUUAUUUCAGUACUAUUAGUUUUUAAUUAAAAAACACUUAAACCAAACAUAAUUUUUGUUCAAAUUAUAAAAAUGAAAAAAUUCUCACCAUUUUGGUAGAGGGAAUAAUUUACCUUAUUUGUCAUAGUUGUGGUCAAAAUUUUUACUUGAUUAGAUCUAAGAUAUCAUAAAUGGUUGUAUUAAAUUAUCCCAACUGCGGCUUGGUGCAUUCGCCUUCAGAAGUUGGAUGUUUUAAGUCAACCAUAAAGCCACUUAAAUGAAAGCAUAUGCUUUGAGAUUUAUGCAUUAAAAUAUCUAGAGAUUAAUUAAGCAAAGCCAUUGGAGGAUUAAAUUAUAUAAAGGCUCAUGAGGGAACCUUUCAAAAAAGAAAUGUAAAAGAAACCAAGUUGUCCCAUCACAGUAGUUGCUCUUUCAGAACUCCUGAAAGGUGUGCAACAAACUAAGAAUUAAAGCUUUUUCGAAUCACAUAAUAGAUCUAAGCAUAGGGAAUCAAAAAAGUGGUCCAAGAGCUAAAAUCAAAUUCACUAUUUAAAUAGUUCCCAUGUUUGACAUAUUCUCAUCAAUCGAGACCUUAAUGUCCACUCCUCAGUGGAGCCAAGUUACAUGAUUCUCCUUCUCAAAUGGAGAGCUCCAUUACUUCCUACUGCAGUAGAUUCAUGCAUGGUAGUGAACUUUUUUUUUUUAAUUUUUCCUUUUUUUCUAAAGAAAGUGAUCAUAAACAGACAAUGUAUCUAACCCCAAUCGAUCUGAAGUCAACUUUGGAACCUUUGGCUCUGCAAUUAUCCAACUGCUGAGGCAUUCAUUAAGAAUUUCAUUCUCUUUUUGCCUUUUAAGGGACAUCUGUAAGUUAAUUCCUGAUGGAUGGUACGCUUUUUUAAUUCACAAAAAAGUACUUGCCCGUUCAAAAGCCCGAAUUUUUUUUACUGUAGAAGAAAUUAAAAUGAGUUUGCGAAUAAAGUAAAUAAUAGAAUCUCUAAUUUGAAGCUCCGGAUAGCUAGUAUUUAAUUACUUUUUUGUUAGUAUUUUGGGGUAAAAGCUCCAGCCGUACCUAACGGGGCUGUGAAGAACAAAUUAUUCUUGCCUUUUCCUUUAACAAGAAUAUAAUUUUUAGUAACAUGUAAGUUGGCUUCUUGGUGAAAAAUCUGGUUAUUCCAUCUGAUAAAGAGCCCAAUAUCCUAUGUAAAUGGUAUGUAAAUUAUUUAGAAAUGGAAUCUUUUCCUCUUUUAUUUCUAACAUAAAGAUUGAGUAGAAGUUAAACCAAGAAGGACAAGCACAUGAUUUAGAUCCUAGCUGAGGAAGAUUGUCUGUCAUGUAAACUGGCCUUGUCAUGCCAUUCUGUGAACUUCAUUAUUU
rnacentral:lncRNA from 1 species